rnacentral:lncRNA from 1 species
UCGCUAUCACAGGAUCAGAGAUUGGGUAGAAGCUGGAGAUAUCAUUGUGGAGAAGGUUCACACAAAUGACAAUGCAGCAGAUUGUUUAACCAAGCCCGUUUCUACAGAGAAGUUCAAGCAUUGCUUGGACUUGCUCAGUGUCACAGCUUGCUGAGUUGUGGUGGAGCACCUCCUCACUUGAGGUGCGUUAAGGCAAGAAGAGUCUUGCCAAGGUGAAGGUUCUUGGAGGUUUUGUUCAGGGUUACUUCAAGAAGAUUCAAGAUAUCUUGAAGGGAGCAGCAAUCAUUUGGUAUCAACUCACCAAGGUGGAGAUUGUUGUGUUUUGGCUCGUUGAUAUGAUUUGGAAAUAAAGGAUUCAGCAGGAAAAUCUUAGUUUAGAAAGGAAAGAGGAUUUUCUAUAAGUUUUAGGAAAGUAAUCUUUCAAGAUCUGUUAGGAUUUUUGUCUACUAGGUUUAGGAGUCCUAAAAAUCUUAUUGUAUCAGCAGCCCCUAUAAUAGGGAGCCGCAGGGGGAUUCUCUAAGUGUGAGACAGAAAACCUAGAGAGUCAAGAGUGAUAGAGAGAUAAGAGAUCUAGCAGGGAGUUGGGGAUUAGCAUAGGGAUUUCAAUAAGUACUUGUAAUUAAGUUGUUAUUAUCCAUAGUGCUAGUGAUUCUCUCAAGAGAGAUCACAAAGUGGACGUAGGCUAAUUAUAGCUGAACCACUAUAAUUCCGCUGUGUUUGUUUCUGUGCUCAUUUGUUUUUAUCUUUGCUUAUAUCGUAAAGUCUGAAUAAAGAUCCUAGGGACUUGACCACUAUACAUAUCCCCCAUGUUUUCAAGAUAUCCUCUUUUUCAUUUACUUUUAUAUUGCCCAAAUCAGAGCUAAUACCGCAUACCCAAGGGGCUUUGGUUCUUUACCAAAAGCAGAAAGUUUUGCACUUCCAAAUCAAUGCUGAGAAACAAGUUGGAAUCCUCCUUUGCAGAACAAGUACCAGAAAUCUGAAAAUCUUGGCUUGGGGGAGAAACCUCAACUUAAAAAACUCGUAAAGACUCUAGCUUCCAUCUCCUGUCAUCUGGCCUUGAAUCCACCAAUCUUUCUUUCUAACACAACCAACAUGGAGAAGACUCCAAUGCCUCUUCAUCAUUCAAAUUUCUUCUAAAGCAAAAAUCCAACUCAUCUGUAAAGUAAUUGGAACAAGAAGUCUUCCAAAUGUAGAAUAAACACACGAAAAUUAGUUAAAAUAAUUCAUGUUAUAUCGACUGUCUCUCAGUGUCUCAUUUUAUUUUCUCAUCAUUAUUCAAAGCUAAAGGCAAAAGUGCACUUUGAUUCUCUCAUGCUUGAUUGUCUGCAUUUGUGCUAAAGCACCUGGCCUAAAGAUAAGUAUAUAGAUGGUUGGAGCUGGAGCUCCAUGGUGUAUGUUGCUUAUUCUUUCUUUGAAGUUGCUAAGCUAUAGGACAGAUCUUUGGUCUCUUCGGAACACAAAAGUAACAUACGACUUUAAAACCAGUGUAUCACGUACUUUGUUCUCUGAAGCAAGUUGCAUCAAUUGCCAAAUAUUUUUUGUCAUAUAGGAAGCAUCUCAUCCCACUGGUGCCCUGCAUCCUGUGUUCGUCAACUGAUAACAUGCCAUAAAGAAUUUAUUUGGUUUCUAUACUUUAGUGUUAGUACCGUAUAAUGUGAACACAUAUACUAAUCUUCCAAAUGUGUUGUAUUUCUCCCUUUUGAAAAGAAGACCUGUAUAUUUUAACUUGUUUGUUCUUUUCUAUUCCAUUUUCAGGAGUGAUUUUCAGUUCGGCGUGCUGGCUUAAAGAUAGAAGUCUGGAUGAAUUUCGUGGUCAUUCUUCUGAAAAAAUGUAAUGCUAUUUUAGUUUGUAGGGAUUUUCAUGCAUGUUGUUGCAGGAACCGGGUGAAAAAAGUGUUCUCUUCUUGUUGGUUACUUGACUCUUAUAAUCAUGUUAAGUACAAAUCAAGUAACCUUUUUACUAUUCCAUCUGAUGUAUUUUGAAAUGGAAAACUCAAUUUCCAUGUUUAUGCGACCUUAUUUUGCAGCUACAAUAGACUCCUGUUAUUUUCACUAGAACGACCCCGUUUAUGUUUCCUAUUGAAUUAUGGUAUGUAGUCUCGUUAAGUUUGCCAUUGCAUAUUGGAUUUUCUUCUUGAUCUCAGUUUACUUGCUCUCCGCUGAGAAAUGAGGAUUUUCGGAUAAUGCAGCUUCCUAUGGCUUCCAUUGCACAAGAUGAGAGUCUGACGCUGUUUUCAUGGAGAAGGAUGCCUGUGUUUAUGGGUGUAUCCGACUCGGUCUGCGCACACUGUGCAGUGUUGGGUGAUGGAAAAGUAUGGAGAUGCUGAGUCUGGGACUAGGAGUUAUAGCUUUAAUGUUCCCAAUCCUCCUCCAGUAUGGUCUAGGUAUCUGAGUCUGUUGAUCACUGAAAACAGUAGGUUUCUCCUCAGGUAUUCGAUUGAGAAUUGGUCAAAAAUAUUGGAGUUGGUCAAAGUUGUUGAUAAAGAAGAGAAUCAAGAAGUGGAGGAUGGCACGGUAGGAGUCGUGGGUGGGGGAGUGUCAUGGUUGUAUAUGAUGAGACUGUAUUUUCUAGUGUUAUGGUGGAACUAGUGUUAUGGUGGAACCAAAGCAGCAAGAGAGAGAGGGCAAGAAACUGAAAAUGCAGCACCAAGGCCUCACAAAGCUCGAUUGAAACAUAAUGAUUGCUGGUUAGUUAUUCCUCCCUCUUAUGCGGUAGAACAUAACUUGUUUGUUUGUUUNNNNNNNNNNNNNNNNNNNNNNNNNNNNNNNNNNNNNNNNNNNNNNNNNNNNNNNNNNNNNNNNNNNNNNNNNNNNNNNNNNNNNNNNNNNNNNNNNNNNNNNNNNNNNNNNNNNNNNNNNNNNNNNNNNNNNNNNNNNNNNNNNNNNNNNNNNNNNNNNNNNNNNNNNNNNNNNNNNNNNNNNNNNNNNNNNNNNNNNNNNNNNNNNNNNNNNNNNNNNNNNNNNNNNNNNNNNNNNNNNNNNNNNNNNNNNNNNNNNNNNNNNNNNNNNNNNNNNNNNNNNNNNNNNNUUUUUUUUUUUUCCGCUAUGCUAUGGAGUAUUUCGAUUUCAUUUGAAUGAAUGUCUUUCAAGCGCUUUCCUUGGAUUUGUAUUUUUCCUAUAUGCUUGCCUGCAGCCUUAGUAUGUAAGGGCACUCAAUCAAGGGAUGCUCAGAGUGGAUCUAGGGAGAUUUGUCUCAGAGUGGUCUAUCAUGUUUUGUAUUGGAGUGGAUUGAGUCAAGUUCCAGAAUUAUAUUACUGUUGGACCAUUGUUUGUGGUAUUGACAAGGUUAAGGCAUUAAGCAAUGGCUAUUGAAUUCAGAUUGUUUAGAUUGUUGAAAAUUUCUCUUGGAGACAUGGAGUUCUAUGUUUGGUUCUGAACUUCUGAUUGUUGAUUUUGUGAUGUUUUUGAUGGAAAUAUUCAUGACACCAAUUUUCAAUGGCCAUGGUCCCAGAAAACAGAGGAUAAUGACCUGCUAUAAAUUUCAGACUGGUCUUCCCUACCACACUAACACAACUGAUCUCGUAGCGGAAUUAUGUGAGUCUACAUUAGUUACUGAUUUGGAUCACUUUCAUGGAAGUUUACAUUCAAUGUACCAUUUUCUCUUAUCAGUUUGAAUCUGUAGUGACCAUAGAUACAUCUUACCUAUGAUUUACACCAUGGCCAAUGAAGGGAAAAGAUGUUUCACCAAAUAUUGAAAGGAAAGUAAAACCCAUUUUCCAGUUAAAACAGAUAUAUCAUAUCAAUGAAUGCGCAAGAGAGCUAUAUCAAUACUAACAGAAAUACCACUUUGAUUGUCUUAUUGUAUUAUGUUAUCUUAUACAAAGUUAUGGGUUCUACUAGACUAUGAUUCACUACGGUCGAAUUGUGCAAGCAUCUCUAUACUUUAUGCUCUAUUUUGUUUUCCUGCUCUGAAGUUGAACAGUUAAGAAUCCUUGUUGUGUAUUCCUUGGAUUUCUUGUGAUCCCUGUGGGGUCUGAGUUAACCUAUUUUCUUUGAUUGGUUCUGUUGAUUGAAAAACUGAAUUUGAUUUAGUGCCAGAUACAUUAGCCUUUAGGAGCGCAUCAUACAAGAUAAAAAGAUAUAAAUACUUCGCAAAGUGUAAAUCUUUCAAUUUCUAAUAAACAAAUCCAUUAAAAGAUAAAAACUCACAAUUUCUUUCAAUUUCUAAUCUUUCAAUUUCUUAUUGUACUUCUGAAACCUUCUACAUAGUUUUGAAGAGUGACACUUUUGACAUUUUUAGUUCAUGAAUUAAAUAAUUGCAUCUUUUUACUGGUUAGACUAUUUGUUAUAGUUAACUACCCUGAAACGUAACCUUGCUAGUUUUGUCCAACUUUAGUACUCAUUGUUAUGAUAAUGUGAACAUUAAAUGUUUUUACUUUGGCCAAGAAAAUUAUUUUCCAUGUUUAAACUGUAUAAGAAAUGAUUAUAGGGUCUACUAGACUGUGAUUCUCUACAACAACUUGGGUAGGUAUGGACUCACUGUUUCGUGUCUCAUGAGAGCCUAUUCAGAGCACCUCGGUGCGCAGCGCACCAGGAUGUCCAAACAACGCGUGCAAACUACGCACGUCAGUUCGACUGGCGGUCGUUUCUCUUCCUUUAUCAUAAUUCAUAACUCUCAUCAAAUUCAAACUAGUUAAUGUACACUCAGAAAGCGGUCAACAAUAAACAGAUCCAUUCGAACUCCUCUCUUUAAUCUUUGACGAAGACUACGGCAUUUACGUCGAUCUCUCACACAUAGAGAAGGUACUCGACCUCUCUGAGUCAAAGACAAAACCGCCGAGGUCCGCCAUCCACUUGGUCUCUUCCGUUAUCGGGGUUGCAAGAUUCCUAACCGUGUCAUUCGAUGAACGUUGAGAAAUUGGGUAUGUAUAAUUUCGGAUUUUAUUUGGCAAAUUGAGGUAUGGAAGGCAGUGAUCUGCAGAAAUAGCCGCAAUCGAUUUCGUGGCUUUAGAUUUAUAGAUUUUGGGUGUACUGGUGAGUUCAAUGUGAAUGGUUUAAUGUGUUCAACUAUUCUGGGCGUGAUCGAGUUCUGGGUCUGAGUCCGAAAAGCUUGAAUUUUGGGGUUGUUUUCCGUUUCAGUUGGGUUUGAAUUCGAUUCCCCAAACUCAACUCUUUGGCUCCUCUGAGUAUUUUGGGGUUGUUUUCCGUUUCAGUUGGGUUUGAAUUCGAUUCCCCAAACUCAACUCUGUGCUCAUGUGGUUGAUCUGGGAGCUACUGGAGUUACCAAACCCCCCCCCCCCCCCGGAAUUGUUAUGGUUGUGGAUGUAAUGAUUUUUGUGCAUAAUCGACCGGCUUUGCGAAGCCCCACAGACGACGAAACAACUAUUCUGGGCACACAGUUGAUUGAGAUUAGUGUGGUGUUUUACCUUGCAAAUUUUUGGUGCUUUAUAGUUUAGCAAGUGAGAAUUGUGGAACUGAGUGGGUUUUGAUAUUGGGUUUAUGAGGAAAUUGUGGAUGCAGUUGUUGUAUCUGUUCACUUCUGAAUGUGUUCUUCCAUGAAAAAUGUGGAAACCUUUUUCUAUCUUUCACUUUGUAUAUACAUAAAUAAAAUAAGCAUGUAGAGUUGAAAUGUUGUAUUAACGUUAUCGAAAAUAGAUGAAUUUUUUUUCAUAGCCGUAUUUAAGUACGUUGAUCAUAUCAGACGAUUGAAUUUUUAUUUUGUGAAAUUUAGCUAUUGGAACCAUAAUGUGCCUACUAAUAUGGUAUAACUUGUUUAGUAGGUUAUAUGCAAGUGUACAGUUUUAUGAACCAACUAUACGAAGGAAACAAUAUUUUCAAAAAUCUUGUGAAAUAGGAUGUGAUACGUAUGGUAAAAUACAGCUAUGGUUAAAAAAUCACAUAUUUCUGAUAACGUUUGGUCCCCGAUAGAGGUGGUCAACCCUAUUUAAGCUAUGCUUCCCUAUGGAGAGCUCUAUCGUCGAGAGGUGAACAUCCCUACAUGAGUGGUUACAUAUCAUCAAUGUGAGAGUUUUGUGUGUGGAAAAAUCAACCAAACUAGGUCAUGUAAGGGUAGGUAAGAGCGUUUUUGUGUAAUAAGUAACGUUGGUUUACGGUUGGCCGCGUCGAUCGAGAGCCAAACGUUAUCGAAAACAAGUGAAUUUUUUUCCUUAGCCGUAUUUAAGUACGCUAAUCAUAUCGAACGGUUGAAUUUUUAUUUUGUAAAAUUUAGUCAUUGGAACCACAACGUGCCUACUAAUGUUGUAUAACUUGUUUAGUAGGUUAUAUACAAGUGUACAUUUUUGUGAACCAAGUAUAUGAAUGAAGCAAUAUUUUCAAAAAUCUUGUGAAAUAGAAUAUGAUCUUUAUGAUAAAAUACAACUAUGGUUGAAAAAUCACAUAUUUCCGGUAACGUUUGGUCCCCGAUUGAAGCGGUCAACCCUAUUUACUCUUAUGUUUCCCUAUAAAUUAAGAGCCCUAUUGUUGGGAGGUGAGCGUUCCUAAAUUUUUACAUGGGUGGUUACAUAUCAUCAAUGUGAGAGUUUUGUGUGUGGAAGAAUCAACCAAACUAGGUCAUAUAAGAGUACGUAAGAGCGUUUUCGUGUAAUAAGUGACGUCGGUUUAAGGUUGACCGUGUCGAUCGAGAGCCAACCGUUAUCGAAAACAUGUGAAUUUUUUUCUAUAGCUGUAUUUAAGUACGCUGAUCAUAUCAUAUGGUUGGAUUUUCAUUUUGUGAAAUUUAGCCAUUGGAAACAUAACGUGCCUACUAAUGUGGUAUAAUUUGUUUAAUAGGUUAUAUGCAACUGUACAUCUUUGUGAACAAAUUAUACAAAGGAAACAAUAUUUUCAAAAAUCUUGUGAAAUAAGAUAUGAUUUGUAUGGUGAAUUACAACUAUGGUUGAAAAAUUACAUAUUUCCGGUAACAUUUGGUCCCCGAUAGAAGCGGUGAACCCUAGUUAAGCUUAUGUUUCCCUAUGAAGAGCCCUAUCGUUGGGAGGUGAACGUCCAUAAAUUUUUACAUGAGUGGUUACAUAUCAUCAAUAUGAGAGUUUUAUGUGCGGAAAAAUCAACCAAACUAAGUCAUGUAGGGGUAUAUAAGAGCAUUUUCAUGUAAUAAAUGACGUCGGUUUAAGAUUGACCGCAUCGAUCGAGAGCCAAACGUUAUCGAAAACAAGUGAAGUUUUUCCUGUAGCUGUAUUUAAGUACGCUGUCAUAUCAGACGAUUGAAUUUUUAUUUUGUGAAAUUGAGACAUUAAAACCACAACGUGUCUAUUAACGUGGUAUAACUUGUUUAAUAUGUUAUAUGAAAGUGUACAUCACUGUGAACCAACUAUACAGAGGAAAAUCUUGUGAAAUAGAAUGUGACCGAAAUAGUGAAACACGAAUAGGGUUGAAAAAUCAUAAGCUUCCGAAAAUAUUUGAUUUCUGAUAAAAACGAUCAACACUUAUUAUGUUUAGACACUUCUAAACGAAUUAGUAUAUCAAAACAAACACAACGGAUUAAGUGUUUCUAAAAUAUUAACUACUCCGCAAGUACAAUAUUUUUGCUUUUUCAAUUAAACACUUCCGUAAGCAAACAAUUGUUUCCAUUCUUCAAAAACAAAAAUGCAAACAAUGGUUCAAUUAAUAAUGUUUUUAUUAGAUAAGUAUUAUCUUUUUUUUUUUAAAGAGAAAUAGUUAUUAGCUUAAAAGGUUAAGAUAAUGAAAAUGACCUUUGACCAUAUGUCAAAAUUGCUCUUGUCCAGGUGUGUUGCCUCUUCCAUUCCCAAAAGUUCGUCGGGAAAAGAAGAAAAAUUAAACAAACCCAGAUAAAUCAUCUCCUCUGCUUCAAUUCUGCAACACAGCAAUUCAGAAUCGUCAUGUCAUGGAAUUCGGUCUACCCUUUCACUCUUGCAAAACCCUCACCCUCAAACCCAAAUCCCAGAUGGCCUCACCUCAAGUCUCAACCGCCGGACAUAGCUGAAGACCUCGACGGCGUCCUCUGCUCCGCUCAGAAACUGGACAAACCUAAGCCGGCUCAAGUUAAUCGUGGCUCCAAUGGUGGAAAACUCUGAAGCAUCUUCUGGAAUCAAAGCAGUAGGGCCGAACCUGAAAAUUCGAGGGCCUGAGACGAGUUCCAAAAAUUGGUGCCCUCUGGUUAUUAAAAAAAUCAAUCGGCCAUAAAGAAUCAAAGAUCCAUUCCAAACAGUAUAAAACUGAUUGGUUUACGAUGCCAGACGGUAUAANNNNNNNNNNNNNNNNNNNNNNNNNNNNNNNNNNNNNNNNNNNNNNNNNNNNNNNNNNNNNNNNNNNNNNNNNNNNNNNNNNNNNNNNNNNNNNNNNNNNNNNNNNNNNNNNNNNNNNNNNNNNNNNNNNNNNNNNNNNNNNNNNNNNNNNNNNNNNNNNNNNNNNNNNNNNNNNNNNNNNNNNNNNNNNNNNNNNNNNNNNNNNNNNNNNNNNNNNNNNNNNNNNNNNNNNNNNNNNNNNNNNNNNNNNNNNNNNNNNNNNNNNNNNNNNNNNNNNNNNNNNNNNNNNNNNNNNNNNNNNNNNNNNNNNNNNNNNNNNNNNGUUCAAAGCAGCUGCCAGGUUUUUGGUGCCCCAAAAUUUUUUUGGGCCUGAGGCGGCCGCCUGUUCCGCCUCACCUCAGGUCCGGCCUGCAAAGCAGGGUACAAUAUUGAUGAUUGAUGCAGGGUUGCAGACCCUUUCUCUUCCCCUUUCUCCCCUCACUCGCCUACUAAACGUUCUUCAAACGCCAACUAACGUCCUUAAUAAAAAAUUGAUCCACGCGUCUAAAUGGAGAUUCCGGGUGCAUAUGUACACGGGUGCGCUAAAUAAUUUUCGCUCAUUGUAAUGACUCAAGUUAUCCUCUCAGACUACCCCAAAACCUAACCAUGUUUGUCUGUUUGUUUUUUUUCUCUCGUUUUUUUCCUCUUCUUUGUCUCUCUAACUAUAGUAGCCAUGGUAGCACCUCAGGUAGGCCUUCGCCUUGGCUAGCUUGUAUAGCAACGCAAGAGUCUUAUAUGAAUAUUGUAUUGGUUGGACACUUGACAGAAACUGAUGAAGUUCCAAGGCCGAACCCUGAUUCGGCGUCCUAUAGCCGAUGAUGGGCCUUUUUGGGAUCUUGCCUGGUUUAGGAUGCUGAAAAGUACUCUGGGAGUAAACGUGGUCAAUUGGGGAAGCAAAGAAAUUCAGAAGAUGGUAAAAUAGACAACACAGAUUUCCAUUUUCUUAAAUUUAUACACUUCUGAAUAAUCAUACAUCACACGGCACAGUUAGCAUGCUGUGAACAGUAAACAGGUAUCAUGAGGAGAAGGGAUACCCAGUAAUGAUUCAUAGUCUUCCCCAAUUGACCAUAUCUAUCUGGUAGUUAUAUGUUUGGUUCUGAACUUCUGAUGGUUGACACCAAUUUUCAAUGGCCAUGAUCCCAGAAAAUAACGGAUAUAGAUUUCAGACUGGUCUUCCCUACCACUCUAACACAACUGAUCUCGUAGCGUAAUUUUUUCAGUCUACAUUUGUUACUGAUCUGGAUCACUUUCAUGGAAGUUUACCUUCAUUAUACCAUUUUCUCUUAUCAGUUUGAAUUUGUAGAGGCCAUAGAUCCACCUUACCUCUGAUUAUACCAUAGCCAAUGAAGGGGAAAGUUGGUUCACCAAAUAUAAAAGGAAAUUAAAACCCGUCUUCCUGUUAGAAAGAUAGCCAUAAUUAAGCAAUAUUGCGUGUGCAUGAGAGCUAUAUCAAAACUAACAGAAAUACCACUUUGAUUGUCUUAUUAUAUUAUCACUAUUAUGUUAUCCUAUACAAAGUUAUGGGUUCUACUAGACUAUGACUUGCUACACUCAAAUUGCGUAAGCAUCUGUAUGCUCUAUUUUGUUUUCCUGCACUGAAGUUGAACAGUUGAAAAUCCUUCUUGUUGUGUAUUCCUCUGAUUUCUUAUGAUCUCAACUUGGCAUAGUUUCUGUAGUUCUCUUUUAUGGUCUUCCCUGUGGGGUUCACCUAUAUUCUUUGAUUGAUUGUGUUGAUUGAAAACCUGCAUUUGUUUUAGUGCCAGAUGCAUCAGCCUUUAGGAACACAUCAAUCCUCUUUGGAAAUUUGGCUAGAUACUCUGCAAGAAUCUAGAUAAUCAAUUUUACUGAAAAUUUCAUGCCUGGAUGGAUGUGCUUUACACUUCUACUAGAGAAACAUUACCUAGAGAGAUUUGUGUUGAAUGAGCUUGAUUUGAAUCAGAAUCUAAUUUCAGAUUAUUCUUAUCCCUGCAUAGUUGAUUAGUGUGACUAAAAAACAUGUAAGUAUUAAAGUAUAUCUUCUGGUCAGCGAAGGGUUUACUGUUACUUUUCCUCUCAAGAGCUUAGAAAUAUUAUUACAAUCAAAAUGGUUUUCACCUUUGUUUGUGAUACUGAAGAGGUGGAACAUCUUCAUCUUUUCUAUACUUUUUUUUUUUUGGUAUUUGUAUUUUGCUUACUGUUAAAUUACAGCAUUAGUCCUACAAGAUUUUAAUCAGGACAAUCACAAGAAUUUUUGUUAGCUUUUCUUUUUUAAGCUCUAGUUUUAGUUUCAAAUUUGUAGUGGCCAAAAAUCCUUGGGAGUCUCCACCCUCUACCAAGCCCAAUGAAGCUAGUUGGAAUGUCUGUAGGAAGUAUUUUUCUUUCUGUUAGAAAUGGUUCUGGCAGCAGUUUGAAAGUUGAAACUAUGCCCUUUUUUUAUUUUGUUUUUUUCUUCUUUUUUGUAGACGCGAUGACAGCUAGACUGACAAACCAAAAAAAUUAUCCUAGACUAACAUUGUUCUUCAAUCUAGAACUACUAAUGAAAGUGUAUAAUCUUUAAACUGCCCAAAGACUCGUAUGUUUGCCUAGAACCUAACCCUCUCCCAAAUAUCCUCCAUGUGUUUCAAAUAUCCUCUUAUUCAUUCACUUUUAUAUCACCAAAAUCAGAGCUAAUACCGCAUCCCCAAAGGACUUUGGUUCUUUACCAAAAGCAGAAGGUUUUAAACUUCCAAAUCAAUCCUGAGAAACAAGUUGGAAUCCUCCUUUGAAGAACUAGUCUUCACCCUCCCAUGUGAUACCACUCCAACUUCCAUCCCCUGCUUUGGUCUUGAUUCCACCAAUCUGUCUUUCUAACACAAAUAACAAGGAGAAAACUCUAAUGCCUCUUCAUCAUUCAAAUUUCUUCUAAAGCCAAAAUCAAACUCAUCUGGAAAGUAAUUGGAACAAGCAGUCUUCCAACUGUAGAAUAAACAUAUGAAAAUUAGUUAACAAAAUUCAUGUUAUGUCAACUGUCUCAGUGUCUCGUUUUAUGUUCUCAUCAUUAUUCAGAACUAGCAAAAGUACACUUUGAUUCUCUCAUGCUUAGUUGUCUGCAUGUGAGCUAAAUAACCUGGCCUAAAGAAUAGUAUAUAGAUGGUUGGAGCUGAGCUCCAUGGUGCAUUGAAUGUUGCUUAUUCUUUCUUUGAAGUUGCUAAGCUAUAGGACGGAUCUUUUGGUCUCUUAGGAACACAAAUAAUAUACGACUUUAAAAUCAGUGUAUCACUUUGUGCUAUGAAGCAAGUUGCAUCAGAUACCAAAUAUUUUGGUCAAUAUAGGAAGCAUCUCAGCCCACUGGUGCCCUGCGUCCUGUGUUCUUCAACUGAUAACAUGCCAUAACGAAUUUAUUCGGAUUACAUACUUUAGCAUUAGUACCGUUAAAUGUAAAAGCGUAUACUAAUCUUCCAAAUGUGUUGUACUUUUUCCUUUUGAAAUGAGAACCUGCAUAUUUUAACUUGUUUGUUCUUUUCUAUCCCAUUUUCAGGAAUGAAUUUCACUUCGGCGUGCUGGCUCAAAGAUAGAAGUCUGGAAGAUUUUUGUGGUCAAUCUUCUGAACAAAUGUAAUGCUAUGUUAGUUUGUAGGGAUUAUCAUGUGUGUUGUUGCAGGACCAGAUGAAAAAAGCAUUCUCUUCGGUUAAUUACUCAUAUUUGACUCUUAUAACUUUGUUAAUUACAAUAUCAAGUCGGCGUUUUCUAUUCCAUCUGAUGUAUUUUGAAAUGGAGAACUGAAUCUCUGUAUGUUUAUGGAUCUUUGUCAUUUAUUUGACCUGACCUUAGAUUUGUGGCAGCUACUAACUUUAUCAUAAUCAUCCAACCUGAGUAAACUCUCUUCGUAUUCCAAACUUCGACAUCCACUAUCCAUAAGCACAUUUGUUUCAAGAACCACCCCAUCAUAACCGACCCUUAUCGCCUCAGCGUCAGUCUUGUAAGUCCAUUUCCCCACAAGCGUACUAUCCUCCAUGACCAACAGGGGUCUGAGUUUAUAAAUAUGCCUAGGUAUAUUGGAAAACCUUAACCUACAAAAUUUAGUCCAGGAGUCGCCCACCUCAUAUUCUCUCAUCAUCCACAGAUCAAUACAGCUAUUUUGUUCACCAAAAUGUUUUCUAAAAUAUGAACCUUCCAAAAAACGAUAUAAACACAGACAUUUUCCCAUAGAAACCGUGAUACCGUCGAAAAGCUUAUCGCCUUCAUCAAGAAUAGGCAUCGACAUCCUCCGGAACUCCUCCUUUGCCAGGUCAAAUGCAAAGAGGACUUUAUCACCACCAGACACAUGUACACCAAGCCAGUGAAGUGCCUCAUUUAAAAGAAUACCGUUACACUCGAUGAACAUGUCCUUAGGGACUUCAAUUGCUUUCCAGACUUGAGCUCUCCAUGACAAGAUCUCAACCACUUGUUUCUUCUCCUUCUUCUCUUUUCCGGCCACGAGAAAUUUGAAGUCGUCAGUGGCAGAUAAAUAGCCACAACCAUGGUACGUUAUGCCAUAUGGUGUGGAGGCGGAAACACGAUGAUGAGGUACUUGUUUGAAAAAUCCAGUUGACGGGUUCCAAAUAUAGAAGUUUUCAUCAUCAUCAUCAAAAUUGACUGCACAUACCAAACCAUUGCCUGAGCACAGUAAGAAAAUACCUCGUCGUUGUCUGAAGGGGCAACUAAGCUUUCUGACUGUAGAAUCAUCUCCAAAUAAUGGCGUCUUCAACUCCGACGAACUCAACCUACGUCUAUCGUAGAGGAGGAGUCUACAAAAACCACGGGUUUGCUGCUCUACAGCUGUUUUAGAAUGGGAUUUGGCGAAAUUUGAAUCAGACAAUAUAAUGGAACACCACCUUUUUGAAAGACAUGUGAAACGGAAUAGAGAUUUGACGGGCAAUCUGGAGAAGAUUCUCACUAUAAUAUCUUCUGGUAUGUGUUUAUCUGACAUAUUGCAGGUGUUUUCAGUUUUGCCGGAUCCACUCUAGCGGUGAACGAGAAGAAAUUUUGACUAAAGUUGCAAGUCCUGCACACGAAUUUAUAGCAUGAACCAGAGGAACACAAAGACUUGAUGGAAUGAAAAAACAAUAUCCCAUUAGGAAUAGGAUAAAUUCAUAAACGAAAAAAAAAAAACCUAAGGAGAGCCACCCUCUCGUCUCUAGCCUGAAACCCUAGUUUUUCCCAUCUCACCAGCGUUCCGGUCUACCCUACCUAUCAUGUUUCUUCAACUAUGCAUAGAUUCAAGAUCUUAACUUGGAAUUGCAGAGGUCGAUCUCAACAACAUCGAGACCCAAGAUGUUUUGGUCAGCUUGAUUUGUUAACAUAACCCUAGCCUUGUUUUCCUCUCCGAAACAAUGGCAGCGCCGGAUUUAUUAGAGAAUGUCAGACGGCAUAUGUGUUUGGACGAGGUAAUCGGUGCUCCAAAGGAUGAUACUUGUCGUGGUUUAGGGUUGUUUUGGAGGAAUGAUGUCCCAGUACUUCUUUGACAUUUUUCUGCUAAUUUUAUUGAUGCCGACGUAGGAGAACAAGGCUCGCUGAGAGUUUUCUGAUUUACAAGAAUUUACGGUUUGGCUGCUACGGCGGAUUGUGUGAUCGCUUGGAAUAUUCUACGAAAUCUUGCUGCUCAUGUCAAUCUUCAUUGGCUUGUGGCUGGAGAUUUUAACGAGGUCUUGUGCUUAGAAGACGAGUCUAGGGGUCCUCCUCGGUGCAGAGCUCAAAUGAAGCGCUUUCGGCAAGCCUUAGCCGAUUGCUUCCUAGAUGAUAUGGGUUUUGUCGUCCUCGAUAUACUUGGUCGAACAAAUUCACAAAAGAACGUCUGGAUCGAGCAUGCCAAAACCUCCAAUGGAAGAAUCUCUACCCUUUUUCUUGAGUUAUCACUCUACCUCUGAGUAGAUCGGAUCAUUGUCCCUUGUUGAUUGAAGUUAACCUUGAACCAUCCACUCGGACUAAAACCCUUAUACAGUACUGUUUUAAGGAGAUGUGGCUGCAACAUCCAGAGUGUAGUAGUAUGGUGGAAAAGGGUUGGAUGCUUCCGAUAACGGGUGAUGCGAUGACUCAGGUUGGUAGAAAGAUUAAACAUACAGGAGCGCACCUACUGCGCUAGCACUUUGGUGUGUUUCAACAGAGACAAGCAGAGAUGAAGUUGAUUCAAGGUAAGUUGGAUGCACUUAUGAAACAACAAUUUGUACCAACUCAUUUUGAAGAACAGAGAACUCUCCAGGUGCGUCUGAAUGAGGUUUUAUCCUCACAAGAAACUUAUUGGAGGCAGAGAUCCCGUAUUCAAUGGCUUCGUGAUGGAGAUCGUAACACAGCUUUUUUUCAUCGUAAAGCCUCUAAUCGACGGAGUCGAAAUAGAGUGAAAGGUUUAACAAUUGCAGAAGGUAGAUGGACGACAGAACCUAAAGAGGUGGAAACACUUCUGAACGAUUAUUAUGAAAAUAUUUUUCGGUCCAAUGGUUCCGAUUCGAAUGCUACUGCCACCAUCUUGAAUUCCUUGCCCACUAAAGUGACUGCUGAAAUGAAUUUGGAGUUGCUAGCUCCAUACAUAGAUGUUGAGAUUAAAAAAGCUUUGUUUCAAAUGCAUCCAUCCAAAUCUCUAGGCCCAGACGGAAUGUCUCCAUGUUUCUUUCAAAAAUUCUGGUUAAUUGUUGGCACUGAUGUUUGUUUGGCAGUUAGAGAACUCCUUCGUACAGGUCAGAUUUCUCAUGAGUCCAAUUUUACUCAUCUGAUGUUGAUUCCUAAAAUUAAAGACCCGAAACUUGCAUCUGAUUAUAGACCGAUUGCUCUCGGCAAUGUGGUCUACAAAAUUGCAUCCAAGGUGUUGGCAAACAGACUGAAACACAUCCUCCCACAGGUGAUCUCUCAUCUUCAAAGUGCAUGCGUACCGGGUCGCUUAAUCUCGGAUAAUACUCUAGUAGCUACUGAAAUUGCUCAUUUCAUGAAAAAACUUCGCCGGCAGUCACAAGGUUUCUUCUCAUUGAAACUUGAUACUUCAAAGGCCUAUGAUAGGUUAGAAUGGAGAUUUUGGGAAGCAGUCCUUCUAACGCUGGGAUUUUACCACACCUGGGUUAACAUUGUCUCGGUGACAAUUAAAUCGGUUAGUUACUCAAUUCUGAUUAAUGGUACUCUUACUGGUUUUAUCUUAACUACUAGAGGGAUUCGUCAAGGCGACCCUCUAUCUCCAUAUCUAUUCACUCUGGCUGCAGAAGGACUGUCCUCCUAUAUAUCUGCAUCUCAGAGGCAAAGUUUAAUCCAAGGAAUUUUGGUUUCUCCUACAGCCCCUACCAUUCACCACUUACUUUUUGCAGACGAUAGCUUUCUCUUUGGUGAAGCUUCUAUACAAGAAUGUCAUGCUUAUAAACAGAUUAUGUCUACCUAUGCAAGGGCAUCUGGUCAACAUAUUAAUCUGCAGAAAUCAAGUGUCAUUUUUAGCAGCAAUGUAUGACCUAAGGAGAAGAAUAUAUUAGCUUCCAUUUUGGAGGUUGAAUGUGUAGAGGAGCAUGGUCUUUACCUAGGCCUCCCUAUUCAAGUUGGACAAAAUAAGACAACCAUAUUUAAUUUUCUUAAAGAAAAGUUAAGUAAGAAGCUCAUUAGUUGGAGAGAGAAGCUUCUCAAUGCAGGAGGUAAAGAACUUUUAAUCAAGGUAGUUGCUCAGACUCUUCCAAAUUAUGUGAUGAACUGUUAUGCUCUUCCCAAGACUCUGUGUGAGGAUCUUCAACAACUUUGUUGUGAGUUUUUCUGGGGAAGUACUGCAGAAAAAAAAAAAUCAUUGGCAGUCUUAGGAUCAGAUGUGUCUUCCCAAAGAUCACGGUGGGAUGGGGUUUAAACAUUUGUUUUCACAUAACCUAGCUAUGUUAGCUAAGCAGGGUUGGAGACUUCUUACAAAUCCGAACUCCUUAGCUGCUCAGCUCUUCAAAGCCAUCUAUCAUCCACACAACUCUUUUCUUGAAGCCAAUAUGGGUGAAAGACCUUCAUAUGCAUGGAGAAGUAUCAUGGAAGCCCGGCCUAUUCUACAAGCGGGCCUUCAAUGGUGCAUUGGUAAUGGUUCUUUAGUUAAUAUCUAGACUGCGGACUGGAUUCCAGGUUUUCCGGCCUCCUCACUAUCUAAACCUGAUGGUACUAUUUUUGAGCUAGUAUCAGACUUAAUUGAUGAUUCUUCAUGGUCUUGGCAUUCACAUGUUGUCCGAAUGUGCUUUCUCCCUGCAGUGGCUGAUGUAGUUCUUGCUAUUCCCCUCAGUAGGAGAUUUUCACAGGACAAACUCUCUUGGAAAUUCGACAAGAAAGAAUUUUCUCUAUGAAAUCGGCAUAUAUGGUAGCUAGAGACAUGUAUCUUAGUGCAUGUAUUGCAACUGGUUCAAAUGUUGAUCCUUAUUUACCAAUUUGGAAGGCACUCUGGAAAGCUAAAGUGCCUAAUAAGGUCGCUAUUUUUGGAUGGCGAGCAGUGCAUAAUCUUCUCCCAACCAAGUCGGCUUUAAGUCAGAAUGGAUUUACUAGGGAUUUAAACUGUGUUGUUUGUCAACAAUCUAUGGAGUCCUUAGAACAUCUCUUUUGCACUUGUUCUCUCUCGAAAGACAUUUUUGGGAAGCCUCCCUUCUCUUUUCCUCACCCUUCUCUUACUUGGAAAGAUUGGGUACUGGAGAGAGCUUCUUCUUUAACUUCGGAUCUGUUUGGAGUAUUUGGCGAAACCGGAAUGAGAUUUUAUGGAGAGAUAAUGGCAAGAAUCCUGAUCAAGUUGUUAUAGUUGCCAUGUCAUGGCAUGAGGAAUACUCUAAAGCACAAUCAGUCUUUUCUGGUACAACAGCUCCUACUCGGUAGAAACUGAGAAAACAGUGGCAACCUCUUUUGGGGUCAAUUGUGAAACUCAAUGUGGAUGGUUCCUUCCUUCUUGAUGUCACUCAAGGUGGUUUUAAGGGUGUGCUUCGAGACUCUCAGAGUCAGUUCUUAGCUGGUUUUGCACAUCGCAUGGAACAUGUUAGUUCAUCUCUUCAUGCUGAAUUGGAAGCUAUAAGGUAUGGGGUAGAUUUUCUUCAAGCUAUGCAUAUUGCUGAUGCUUGGUAACGGUGACUACUCUCAACUCUCUUAAGGAUGAUUUAUCCCCUCUCAGUGCUCUUAUUUCGGAGAUCAAAGAGACUCUAGCUGCUAACAGAGGUUUUUAGUUUGCGUUUUGCCCCCAGGCAGACCAACUCGGUAGCACACAGGCUAGUUGGUUAUGGUUUUGAGUCUAAUAUCCACCUUGAGUGGUUUUCUCAUGCUCCAGACUUUAUAUUGGAUGCCCUCAUGUAUGAUUUGGAUCGUAUUUAGUAAUAAAACUUAAUUAUUCAAAAAAAAAAGAUAAAUUCAUAAACCAAAGACUCAAUAGAAUGAAUAACCAAUAUCCCAUUCGGAAUAGGAAACCUAAUGGGACGUAGACACGUCAGACAUGUUCUGAAGUAACUUUCUAUACAGUAAAAGAUCAAUAUGUAUAUGCACGCUUUUACUUGUGGAAUUAUGGUAAACAUAAAUUACCAAAUAAGUGCAUAGACAAUUUUUCGGUGUUUUCAUUUUUGAUGGACUAUAGCAAAUAAAUUUGUUCUAUCACAUCAAAUAAAUUUAUAAACAUAAAUUCAUUUUUGAUGCUUUAUCAAAAAUGAACCGUUCGAUCAUCUUGAAUUUUGAAUUGCUAAACGAUCGGAUGGCUCACGGCUUGAUAUAUGUCAUACAAAUGUGUAUAGCAGCCGAACCCAUUCGAUUUAAGAAAAAUGUCUUUUUCUCUGAUUCUCUCCCGAGAGGCUUCUCGUCUGCGGCUAAACCCUAGCAGCGGCGUUGUACCUACAAUCGGUGAUGCUCGGCAUGCCUUCAUCUCCGAUUGCUUCUUAAUUUCUUAUGGGGUGGUGCUCCUUUGGUUUACGACUCUUGUUCCUUUAAUUAUGGUUCUCUUGUGGCAAAAACCUUUCAUGGUUUUGGAUCUCUUUGCACAUCGGCGUGUGAUUUCGCUAUGAGUGGUUUGUGUUCUUUUCUGUCGACUUGUGAUGGAGCUAUGAAUGGUUCGUAUUCCUUUAUGCCGGCUUGUGAUGGAGGCGAUGACUGGUUCCGGGUCAGUCACCAAUCCAUGUUAUAUGUGAUUGAUGAUCAUGCACAAGGUAGCUAUCUCUUUCUUCUCCUGGGGCUAUUGGUUUUGACAACCACGGCAUCACUGAGGCUGAGUCGUUACUUGGUCGAGAGAGGCCAAAUGGAAUCUUGGCUUCUUCUAUGAGUUUCGAGGCAAGAUCGGAAGUUGUUCGUUCCGGCAAGAGGAGUGGUUGCAACGGCGGCAAUAAGAGUGACGACAGCUUUGCAAACCCUGUUCCAGGGUUUGCUAUUGGGCUUGGUGGGCCUCUUGGAUCUUCUUUUCAUUUUGGAGAUCCGGAUUUGGGCUUAUGGACUUUCUAACUGGACUUGAAUCCAAAGUCUAGUGGAAUUGGGUCUUUAUGGCCCAAAGCAUUUUUCAAGCUUGAUUUAGAGAUCGACAAGAAGACAUGGAUGUUGUUGUCAAAGUUUAAUACUCUUUGGUGUUUAUUAGUCUUCUUGUUUUGGUUUAAUGUCUCAAAAGGUGGACGUAUUUUGAGUUUAUGUUUUUUUAGUAUGUUAGUGUGAUGAGCGUACUAAGAUAGUUUUUGCUCUAAACGGUUACAUUUUCUGACGACCACUGACAUGUAAUCGUUGUACUGUUUUGCUAAACUUCAUUAAUGGAUGACCUUUUUAAAAAAAUAAAAAUAAAAAUAAUAAUAAUAAUAAAAAAUAAAAAAACUUUUGCGUAUUCGAUGUCUUCUGAAGUGGAUAAUGAAAAGUCUCUACCAUCGCUUUGAAGUGCAGCUGAAUCUAAUCAAUGGCUUCAUUGUCAUCCUAUAAAGGAUUUGCAAUGCAACAUCUUCCGAGAGUUGUUCGUCCCUCGUUUAAAUUGCCUUUGUCGAAGAAGCCAUAGACUCCUACUCCUGCGGAAUUUGAACUCGAAGUGCAAUAGAAAUGUAGCUUGAGGUCUACUAAGUCCUAGACUCUCAAGCAACUUUUCUCUUUUUUUUUCUUGCUACAUAAAACCCGUCACCUGUUGACCGUGAUACACAUUAAGCGAAAUCUUACACCCAAUAUACUGAUAGGUCUAGCCCGAUAUUAUUUGGUUUACUGUCAUCACGCUUUAGUGUUUCACUUGUAAAUGAGAAGUCAUGAACUUAACAAAUGGAACCGAGCGUGACGCUGAACAUUCCAGUCAUGGUGAGACCCUUAUUCAAAAAAUAAAAACAAAAAAAAAAAGUACUUAGAUUCGACUCACAUAAGAGUAAUGAACUACUGAUCGGUGUAAUUUAAUUAUUAUGCGAUCAAGGAAAAAUCACCAAUAGGUUGGCAAAGCUCUUCCGUCGCCUUUAGUAACAGCUCAAUGACGAAAAAUAUUUUAGCACGUAAAACCUUGCUGUAGUAGAUUCCUUCAAAAGAAUCUUGAUAUAUAGCUAGAUUAAUGGCAUUGGAUAUUUUCAAGCCAAAGCUUAUCUGUUCGUUGGAAUCCAGGAAGAUGGAAAAGAACAAGAGAGAAAUGUACAAUCUUGUUCGAAGUAAGUUCCGUUAAGAAACGACGAUCGACUCUCAAAUGCAGCAAUGGAGGUCAAGUAUUGCAGCAAUGGCACAAUCCAACACUCCUAAACGAAGGAUAUCAUUGAGCAUCAAAACAAGAUAACUGUAUUAUCAAUUUGCAAGUAAUAUAGGUAGUUGAAUUGCCCCCAAAUGUCCAGCAAUUACCAGUUCCCCCUCACAUCUAAAUGCUUCUAACAUGGUCUACGAUUUUGAUUAUUGGCUUGAGGUAUAAUUCCGCACAGAACAUGAGACUGGUUCAACAUUCUAACACAUUUGAAAGUACUGAUUUCCAACUCUAAACACACAGUAGACCACAUUGAACAUGACUUUAUUCUGUCAUCCACUUGCCUUUGGUCUUUGAACAUUCACAAUCAUGCCGCUGUAGUUUAAAGCUCUAGUUGAGAGCAUUUCAGAUAAUGAAUAAGAAUGACAAAAAAGGUAGUCGAGGUUUCAAGCUCAACUUGAGCAGAUUUGAGGAGAUUCAAAUUCAUGCUGUAGUUGAGGAGAAGUAACUUGGCCCAGAAAAGUGGUCGCUACCAGUUACAGGAAUGGAGUGCAACAUGACAUCAAAUCUCUAGUCUAGACUCCAGCUAGACUGAUCCCAAAAUAGAUUUCUAUGAUGAAAUACAUAGACACCAUCCUACAUACACACCUAUUUUAUAAAGCUCAGGCAACAAUAACAGCUGAACCCAAAUGAGGGAAGUAAUAACCAACCAGAAACAGAAUCUUUGACAGGAUAGUUGAUACUAUAAUUACUGCAUGAUAAAGCUAGAUACAUAUCAUUCCUUGGAUGAAUAACAUAACAAAACAGAGUUCAAGACAUAGUUUAGCCUCCAGAAAUGAUACAUUAGGAAACUGACAAUAGCAGAAAAUGCCGUAACAACUGACAAUUCAAGAGUGCACUCACUUUAACAGUUCAUGUGAUCCACAAACUUGUUCUUGAAGCCAUACAAUCCAAAACUGCACCCCUACAAAAUCAAACCAAAGAACAGAAUACUUUCAGAACAUUCAGACUUAUCAAACCAUAAGAAUCAAUGACCAACAGGCAAGUAGAGUCUUCCACCCAAUUUAAGGGGAAGCUCAAGUGACAGCUACAAAAACACUACAAUUUAGGUAAUAGAUAUCACACCCCAGAAGCAAAGAGAAGACACCAUUAGAAGAAAAGCGCAGUUUCAUACUCAUCUGUAACUGACCUGCAACAAACUUAAAUUCUUGUAUUGCACAAUGUCAGAUAAAUCUAGUCCUUCAAAUCUAGUCAGAAAAAUAGAAGAAUGAUUGUGUCGAAAACAAAUCUGCAUUUAUACUGCACAAUGCAAGAUCAAUGUUGUCGGGAAGGCCAAUGUGUAUAAGCAGGUCUGUAUAUCCUCUGCUUAAACUUAUUGAUAAUGUAAAAAGUUUUAAGCCUCACUGAGGUUUGUCACUAAUGUGAAAGAAAAUAAUUUCGAAGUACAUAUAAAUAGUAUUGUGAGCAUAGGUAUCCAGAUAGGAACUUUUGUUGCAGGAUAAGAACAGUACGUAGGAAGAUAAGUAAUGAAGAAACAAUCAGUAAGAAAAAAAGGAAUAUGAACCCAUUUCUGCUCUUCAAAAUAACAAAACAAGUAAGAUCGUCUUGAAUUGUAUAGUAUCUUAGACUCUAGAGUCUAGAAAGAACAAUAACACUUUGUCCUAUUCUGACAAAGAGUCAUAAUGUCUUUCAUGUCCUCUAACCACCAACAUCUGUAAAUGCAAGAAUAAAUUUGGAUAAUAUUCAGCAUGGCUUCAGCCGUAUAUAUAUUCACAUAGAAAUCCCUGCAACAUAUAAGGUCUUCUGUCAUUGACCCCAACAUACAUUCUAACAUCCCUACAAGAUCAAACGACAACAUUAACAUACAUAUCACUAAAACCCUAUGCUCCCCUUAUGCGUUUUGCCAUUUUCUAAAACCUUUACAGUCCUAAUAUAAUUUGAAGGGUAUUGUCAUCAUGAAGAGGUUAAUCAAAUUUGGAUCAUGCCAUUGUCAUGUCAUCUUAAUACAUCUUAACAACCACACAUAAACAAGGGAACCUAAUCAUAUUAAACUAAUACAUAGAUUAAUAAUCCAGAUUGCCAAGUAUCUAGCAAGAGCUCUAAACAAUAAUGCUGCCAGUAACUAUGUCAUCUAAGCAAACCCAGUUAAAAAAUAACACAGAAGAAAGGCAUAAAUGAAGGCAUCUAAUGCAUGGAGCAAGCAUUGAAACGCAAGAGAUCGGUUACUAACCUGAAGAUGAAUCAAUUAUUCCUUCUCAGUCCUGCUUGUUGGGUUCCAAGUACCCUGACAUUUUCUUCCACACCAAGAGGGUCAUUAAGCCAUAGAAGAGUCUCUUCAUAGUGUAUCAUAUCACACUCACCCGCCUCAACCAUAUAUUGACCACUACAACCCGCAACAUCCUUGUGUAGAAGACUAAGAAGAUCAAACCUUACCACCGCAUUCGCACCCUCUUGUGGACACCAAUCUUCUUCAAACCUCCACACAACCAUGCUACUUUCUGUAUGGAAGACCGGUCGCUCAAUUGAAAGCCUAUCAAGUACCAUGCUAACCUGGAACACCUUAGUCCAAGAUUCAGAAACGCCAUACUCCAUCAUCACCCAGAACUGAAAUUGAUCAAAAUUCCUUUCUGUAUAACAAGCAGACACACACAGACACCCUCCCAAAUCAUCUAUGAAGAAUUGAAUUGGGUUAAAGCUAUCUCCCACUACAUCAAUCAAAGGCAAAGCUAUUUCCACAAAUUCUUCUUCUGCUAAAUCAAAAGCAAUGAUCUGCUUCCCAUAUUCAUCCUCCUCACCAUCGUCGUAAUCGAAAUAUCCGAUCCAAUGAAGUGACUCAUUUGAAAGAACCCCCGUAGUAACCCGAUGGAUCCAAUUUAAAUGGCUAGGGGCUUCAAUCAUUUUCCAAGAGUUGGCUCUCGACGAGAAAACAUGUAGAGACCGGUAUCCCUUAGAACAAGCGGUGACAACAACUUUGUACUCGUCGGUGGCAGAUACAUAGCCGAAACCAACUCUUGGUUCAGAUUCGUCAAUACCCACGUCAGGCAAUUUCAGAAACCGAGCAGUACACGGGUUCCAAAUAUAAUAGCCAACAAUCCCAUCAUCAUCACGGAGAGAUACGAAGACCAUACCAUUGCACGAGCCCAGCAUGUACAUGAUACGACCUGGUUGCUUGAAUGGGCAGGUGAGGUUGGCCACCGAAGAAUCGUCACCAAAGGACGACGUUUGGACGUCUAAGGAUUGCACCUGAGAGGAAGUGGAGAGCAGGAGCCUUCGAGUAAGGGUCUUACGCUGAGAAGCCAACUUGAAAUGGGAUAUGGCGAAUUGGGGAUCUGAGAUAACUGAAUUCCAUUCCGUUGAGGUGCAGCGGAAUCUGAUCAAUGAUUUCACUGGCAGACCAUAAAGGAUUUCCGGAGUAACAUCACUCGGGAGGCGUUCACCCGUCGUUGCAAUUGCCUUUGAAGAAGAAGCCAUAGACUGCACUCAGAGUGUGGAACUAGGGUUCUGACAAUUUGAGGAGAAUAGAAAUGAAGCUGAGGUGUUUGUAUUGAUCUAUUGGGCCUAUUGGGUCUCGGACUCACAGACAACCUUGUUCUUUUUUUCUUGCUGCACGAAACCUAAACCCCUACCCAGCUGUGAUCUAAAUGGAACUCAAAAGACACUACACAAGAGACGGUGAAACCAAAUUUCGCUGGUGAUGUAUGAUGAUGAGCAUAGCCUACUAGUCGGUAUGUAACGAUCAAAACGAUCGGCGUAUUUUAGUUACUAUACGAUCAAAGAAAGACUUUACCAAUAAGUUAGCAUAGUUCUACAACAAUGAAAAAAAUACCAAUAGGUUAGCAAAGCUCUUCCGCAACUUUUUUUUUUUUGAAAAAAUGGAGUCGAACUCUUUUAAUUUCAAUAAUACGACCUUAGUAGAUCAAGAGAAUAUCCGAAGACAAAAUUCAUAUUACAUAACGAUGCUCACUAGACCAAUGGGACAAGCGGGGGUAAAACUACAAAACAAGUCCAAACGGCUGGUCAAUCGGGAGCAAAACUCCGAUACAACUUAAAGAGCCUACAAAACUACAAAGAAAAACUAAUGUCCACAAGAGGACUUUAAUUUAGCUUAAAAAGCAAUAACUUACAUAACCAACCAAAGUAUACUAGCUCAACGACAAAACCAUUUUUAAUAUAGUAACACCUUAAGUAACCUUAAGUAACACCUCAAUGACAAAACAAUUUUUAGUAUAGUAACACCUUGCAGCCUUUCUAUAGUUAGAUUCCUUGAAAAUAAAUUUUUUUUUCUUUUUUUUUUUAUUAAAAGAAUGACGUACGAUCUUGUAUUAAGUAAAGAAUGAAAAAAAAAAAAGUAAAUAAUGAAAUUACAUAUACAUGACUUACUUGAAAUGAGUCAUGCACAUGCACUGGAAAACACUUUGGCGUCACUUUGAUCCAAGAUGCAAAGCAUGAUUGAUAAUGUGUUCGAGCAAUUUCGAUUGACAACACCACCACCAGUCAUGUCGCAACCAGCCUACUACCAGCAGCGAUCGUUAGAGCAGUCAUCAACUCCAAUUUCUGAUCCUAAAACUCAAAUUGAGAUUGUUCACUCUCAUCUCUGGAAGGCUCGAAGCAAGCAAGUAGCUCUCAAGUCGACUGCGGCCACUGGAGGAGUGAAGAAACCACAGUGUUUCAAGCUAGGAGCAUCCACACUCCACAAGACCGCCAAAUACCAGAAGCGCAGUUUCCGGAGUUCAGCUGCGUCUCUUCUGCUCGAGGAUGCCAUUUCGGCUCUGUCUAACCUUAACCCUGCUUCUGUUUGCCUGGUGAGUGAUACUGGCACUAGUAUUCUUAAUCUCAAUUUUGUGAGUACUGACUGUGAUGGCGUAGAUUAUGUGCUUGUUGUAAAAUUGAAUGGGAGUGAUGUGAAUUUCGAAAAUGGAGAGGAUAAGAGUUCUGACAGGAAGGCUAAGGUGUAUAGUGAAGAUGUGAAAGAGCUUAGUGAGCUUGACGGUGUUAGUGUAAAUAAGCAAGAUGAUCUGCAAGGACCAAAUUCGGGUGAGAAUGGGAGAGAAUGCACUCCACCUGCUUGAUGAAAUGCCUCAGUCAAAAGGUUGUGUAGUGUAGGGAGGACUGUUGCAGCUCUUACAAGUAUUCGAGACAAAGGUGGGGGACUUGCUCACCAACCUGUAGAAGUGGCAUUUGGGGCUAAUUAUGAAGAAAAGGAUGAUGGUUUUGACAAAUCUGUUGGGAACACAUUUCUAGGUGUUGAGGUUUUUACUCUCGUGGAUGUUGACAACGGAUUAUUGAAUUGUAAUUUUGGUGAAGAAAAUGUUUGCAUGGAUAAUAGCUAUGAGAAAAUGCAUGUUAUUCUAAAAUGGUGCUGGAGUUAAUAUUGGAGAAGUGGAAAUCACUAUCUGGUGACUGUUGAAACACAAUCUCAAGUGAACAUAGUGCAGUGGCUUAAUUUUCUGCUGGCAGCCUUGUCAUUGCGAGACAAAAGGGAUUGUACUCUUGCAUGGAAGCAUUUGACGGAAUUAGUGAAAUGUUUCAAACCUCAUUGUCUCAAGGAGAUAUUUUGGGACUUGAUGUGCAUGGAAGAAUAUUGAUGGCUUAUGGCCUUAUGGGAAAGAGCAUAGGUUUGUGGAAACCACUCAACUGGUGAUGGAUAUCAAUAACUUGGGGCUUAUGUUGGACAGGGAAGCAUAAGCUACUCUAAUAGGAGCAUCUAUCUCUGAUCUUGAUUUUCAAUAGGCUUUUGUUGUGGUAUUGAGUGACUUGUCCAAGCUCUUUGUCAUGGUCUAGUGAUUCCAAUGAUAAUACUGGCAAUACACUUAAUGAUGGCACAUUUGGGAUUUCAGUGAAGGGGCAUGGUGGAGAUGUUGUUGAUAUGUUUUGUGAGAUGCAGAGAAUGGGUGUUCCAUCUGAUGAUCAUAUUUUUUUUAGUGUUCUUUCUUCUUGCAGUCAUUGUGGGUUGGUCAAUGAAGCAAGGGACAUUUUAUAUCAUAUGGGCAAAGUUUUUGGAGUGCUGCAUAAUGUCCAUCACUAUGGGUGUAUGGCUAAUAUUUUGGGUUGUGCUGGUCAGCUCAAUCAAGUAUAUCAGCUUAUAUUGUCGAGAAAACAUCUACCAAGAGUACAAUUUGGGAGCUUGGGAUCUAAUGAGGUUAUAUUCAUCAACUUGCUUACAGCAUGUGUCAUGUAUGGUGAUAUAAAAAGUGGUUGUCAAGUGCUGGACAUUGAAACAAAUUUGCCAUUAACUAGUGCCUAUGCAUAUGGGAAAGAAAUAUCAGGUAGUUCAUAUGUUUGUGGGAAAUUGAUUGGUAGAGCAGUAAGGUUGUCUUUGAUUGCUGACGCGGUGAGUCAUCCUGAAGUGCUUCUAGUGAUUAAGAAGUAUAAGUCUUGGAUGGAUGGAAUAUGGGGGAGCAUGGUUUCUUGCAUGAUAAAAAAAUGGGGUGGCAUUGUAACAGAACAUGGAUCACUGCUGAGAUGCCUUAAUUAAGCUGUAUAAAUCGCAUUCAUGGGAAGGAAAGGGGACUUGCAAAUGAAAUAAUGCAGGGUGAUUAUGAUAUUCUAAAAUUCAGGUUUGUCUUGCUUACAGUGAAAUUUGUUACUUAUGUUACUAUUGUUGCAGACUUUGGUAUAACUGAAUAUGCAGACAAUCCUCAUAUCAAAGAAGUGAUUAGUCUUGCUUUGGAGUUGCAAUAUGAACUAUCCCAUUUUCAGGAAUGAUUUUCACUUCGGCGUUCCGGCUCAAAGAUAAGAAGUCUGGAUGAUUUUCAUGGUCGAUCUUCUGAACAAAUAUAAUGCUAUGUUAAUCUUUCAUGCGUGUAGUUUGAGGACCGCAUGAAAGCAUUCUCUUCUGGUUGGUUACUCGUAUUUGACUCUUAUAAUUUUGUGAAAUACAUAUCAAGUAAGCUUUUUACUAUUCCAUCUGAUGUAUAUUGAAAUGGAAAACUGAAUUUCCACAUGUUUAUGGAUCUUUGUCAUUUAUCUGGCCCGACCCUAGAUUUGUGGAAGCUACAAUAGGUCAAUAGCCAACACCUGUGUUUUUGUUUUUGUUUUUGUUUUUUUUUUUUCACUAGAACAACCCGUUUUUCCUAUUGAAUUAUGCUAUAUAGUCUAGUUAAGUUUGCCAUUCCAUAUUGGAUUUUUUUUUUCUUAAUCCUAGUUUACUUGCUCUCCUAAGUCCUCAUUCGAUGUACUCUUCAAGAUAGAAAUUAUAAAGUUGUUAAGGUACCGGUGUUUCAUGAAUUAAACAGAGUCUGGGAACAAGUCUCUUGAUUGUACCAGUGUUUCAUGAAAAGGCAUCUCCAACACAUAGAAUCCUCAACAUGUUGCCAGUGAAAUAUCUGUUCUGAUUUUGCUGCGUUUCAAAACGGUUGCGCUUCAUUAUCUUCAAUAUUGUCUGAUGGCCAGUUCGCUAGGCUAAACCCCCUCUAGGUUAUUUAAAAGCGAAUUUUGAUGGUGUUUUUGGUGUAUCUAUUGCCAUUGCCACCACUGGCAGUGGCUUUGUUUGUGGGAAUGAUGCUUAGGAGGGUAGUCGCUGGUAAGGGAGAAAUAAUCUCCAAUUUUUACUCCAUAUAGUCAUAUACCAAUCAUUUUGGAGAUCAAUUGCACGCGCUGGCUCGUGUUGAGGCUAGCGAAACCAAAUGUGGAUUCAUCACUGGGAAUUCGUAUUGAAGAUGUGAAGCUGAUGUUAAAAGAUGUUGAGAUAUCAAUCACACAUAAAGAAUAUAAGACUUUACAUAUAGGUUUAUAAGGGUUUGGGUCACUCCAUCUAUUGCCAAUUGAUUUUUGAUGUGAAUCCAAACUACAUUAUCAAAAGCUUGUAUUAAAGUUCCUCUUUCUCAUGUGUUCAUGUUGCUCAUUGCCUUGCCAAACAAUCUCCUAAACCGUAUACAUUUCUGGUACAAAUGUGCCGGAAUUUGAAUGGAUCGGGCUCCGGGUUGUGUGAUUCAUAUGGAUAUAGGUUUUUGGAGUUGCGUAACAUGCACAAGCAGCUGCACAGUGACACUGAAGUCGUAAACCAGCACAUCUAAUUAAGCAAGUCAGCUCUAGUAAGCAAACACUCAUAUCACUCUCAAGCUUGGCUGGAUGAGUCCCCAUCUGAACUGCAAUAAGGAAGUCGAUCACUACUAGACGCACAGAUGAUUUCGGCUUCGGAUUAAUUGUUUGAAUUAGAUGGUUUUCUGCAGCAGCAAAUAAUUGGAUGAGUCCCCAUUAUUGAUGGGAGAUCAAGGCACACUCCAUGCUUGACUGUUACCCACCGAGGAUAUGACAGGACAAAACUUGACCUGGUCUGAAAGAACCAUGUACGACUAUGGCCAUGGGCAGCACAAAUGGUCCUCUAAUCAUAACUAGUGGUGUGUGACUUCGAACAAAUUGAUUUAAUUGACCUUGUAUGAUUUGGUAUAUAACGGAUAGGAGUCGUAUAUAGGACAAUCUAAAGUUCUAUAUAUGUUUAAUAUAUUAACAUAUAUAUUGUUUUUGUCAACCAUAGUUAGCUUUCUGGGUGAUAAUAUUUGAAUUUCGAAGUCUUAUAGUAAUGUCAUAUUUGAUAACCCACGUAGAAGUACAAUGACGAUUUAGUUUGAUUCUGCUAGAUAAUUUCACAGAUAUACAGAGAAAGAAGAAGAAGAUUGUCUAUACAUUUUUGUUAGAUUUUCUAGGCAGUAUACUAGAUCAAAGUGUCUGAUCAACAUCAAAAACCCAGGAAACAAUAGCGGCCGGUAUAUAUAGGAGAACUCCUAAAUGGUUGAUCUGUUGAAUGACACAUUGAGUGAAAAUUACUAAAUAUGAUAGGUGAAAAUGAAAUAGCAGCUUGCCAAGUUCCAACCAAGGAAUCUCAGUACACACACCUUGCAAUAAUACAUUUUGCAGAUGAAACGAAAGAAUAAUGGUGCUGGUUUUUGAAUUACUGGUACAAUAUACCUAGUUUGCCAAGGUGUUAAUUUUUUAUAUUCAACUUCUAAACCUUAUAGUAAUAAAUACGUAAAAGUUUUAAUUACAAUUCUUUCCUUUUACUUCUUCCGGUCUCUUGUUAUCCAGAACCUACAAAUUAGUCACUGCAUGCACAUAGUAGGAAAUCUUUGCUUGAAAAUCAAAUUUAGAGAAUCUUUGUCCAAUCCUAGCUAGCUAGCUAUAUGUUAUGGAUUAUCAAGUGCAUUAAACUUUCACGCCAAUAUCAAAGUUUUUUUAUCAAAUUUUGUUCAUCAAAGCAUGAGCUAGCUCAUAAUAUCAAUUAUCAAACGUAUUUUUAACAAAAUGUUGGCGUGUAUACUAUGUAAAUACACAUUAUUUGACCUGAUUUGAUAUUACAUGCAGGCUAUAGCUAUAGUUUUCCUCUAUAUAUAGCUUGAUAUAUCUAUAGACAAUCAUGCAUGAAGAAUCGAAACCUUCUCAAAGAAAAUGAAGAACUGAACCACGCAUGAUAAUAGGUAUACUUAUCUAGCACUCUAUAUAAACACAAAAUAAUUGGCUUCUCUAAUUCUACAAAAUAUCGUACAUGCAUGUAUACAAGUCCAUAUCAAUAUCAGCGAAGACUAUUCAUGAAUCUUGGUUAUCGUCUUCAAAGCUAAGAAACGUCGUCGAUCGACUUCUUCGUCAUCCUGAUCGACUUGUUCAUUCAACUAUAGUUGAACGAAUUAUCAUUACUAAGAUUAUGGCACCACAAGUAUAUUGCUCAUUCAAAGCAUAGAUAUACCCAAUUGGUGCAAGUACAUCCAUAUAAGUCAAUCGUACAUACGUAGAAAUUAACCAUUAUUAGUCACCAUCUUGAUCAAUCCAGUUCAACAUUACAUAACUUCUUCCAGGCAAAUCAGUACACACCGACUAGAACAUACAUGCACAAUUCCACAGCUACACCUAUUCGUAUAUCCGAAAUCUAAAAUCAGAAACAAUGAUCGAUCCCUUGCUUUCCAAGCAAGACACACCUAAUUAAGGGGCUAAGGAUAAGUAGUAGCAGUAGUAAAAUGCACAUAACUUCAAACCACUUCAUCUUCUUCACGACUUUUACUCAAAGUCAAACGAAAACAAAAACUAAGAAAACGAGAUAUUCUUGGAUCGAUCUAUACGGGGAGGGAGACUUUGAUCGAGCGCUGUUGAAUUAACGUCUGUGGAAUCUGGUUCUACUAAUCAAGUGGAUAGUGUAGCUUUCGUUGACAAAUUAUAGAUGAGUUAGAAAUUAUAUUUGUAAGUAUUAAGUGAAAUGGAUUGGAGGGGGUUAGAUUAAGGAAGGGGACCCUACGAUGGUGAAGAAAGGGAGCAAAUGGUCCAUGGCAGUGUCUCCUUAGAAAUGGACUAACGUGGAGCAACAUGUUAGUUGUCACAAGGGACUAAGUCUCUCAUGGUCCCUAAUUUCUUAAUGUGUGCUUGGAAUGUGGGGCGGGGGCCGGGGCACGUAAACGAGGGUUUCACAUGCCCUAAUAGCUUCUCUAUACUACAAACCACGUGGUGUACGUUCGUUCUAGUUGAUAUCUCAACUUGAUUAGCACCUAUACCAAGUAGAGUGACAAAAUCUUUUGUUGAUGAGUUAACAUGUUAUGUUGUUUAGUUGUUAAUCGGAAGCUAGAUUAAGUUAAGUUGUUAAUUGGAAGCUAGAUUAAGUUGUUAAUCGAAAGCUAGAUCAAAAUUGUGUAAUUAUAUACAAGGUAACGGGUAAGAGCUUUCACGUGAUCUUGAAUCUUGAUCAUAUCCAAUUACAAAUCUUAUCAACGUUGAAUGAAGUUAAAUCUUAAAUCUAUUAUUGGUAGUCAAUCCAAAAGAAGAAGUUGUCUAAUUAACGCCCUGAAUGUGUCACUACUGGAAAAAAGAACUUAGGCGACGGAAUUAUAUUAAUUUCGUAGCCUAAGUGGGACUUAGACAACGGAAAACAGUUUCGUAGCCUAAGAAAGACUUAGGCGAAGGAAAUGUAUUUCGUGGUCUAAGAAUCUCUUAGACGACGGAAAUAUAUACUUAGACGACGGAAUUAUUUUAUAAAAAAUUUAAAAAUUUAAAAUUAAUUACUUAGGCGACGAAAAUGUAUUCCGUGGUCUAAGAAUAGCUUAGACCACGGAAAAAUUUACUUAAGCGACGGAAUUAUUAUUUUUAAAAAUAAAAAUUAAUUACUUACGCAACGAAAGUAUAACUUUUUUGUCGCCUAACUACCGAAAUUUUUUAGCGGCAACGUUUCAGCCAAAACAUUUCACGAAAACUCAAACCAAAAUUUUAAAAAUUUAUUUCUUUUUAACUUAAACUCUACCCUCACUCUCCUAAAAAAACUCCACCCUCACCCAAAAAAAUUAACUCUCUCACUCUCUCUUCAUACAAAAAAACUCCACCCUCACCCAAAAAUUAACUCUCUCACUCUCUCUUCAUACCAUCCCUCUCCUCUUCUCCAGGCCUCACUCUCUUUCUCUCCGUCUGCCGUCGUCAUCUUCGGCGUAGCGUCGCCGGUUCUGGCCGCCGCACGCCACAAGAUCACCACCAAAACGUCCACUUUUCCCACCUUUACCUCCUCAUACUCACUAGGUCGACAUGUAUCCACUCCCGAAGGAGAUCGAAGCCGCGAGAGCACGGCGGAGUUCGCCGAUUUCAGGCGAGCUUGGGCAGCGACAGCAACUUUGGUGAGUAGGGUUUCUUUCCUCUUCUCUUCUUCUUCAAUUCCAUGUCUUUAAUCUUUGGAUUGGAGCCCUAAUGUGAAAAUCCCUUUUUCUGCCAUUUUUCUAGGUUUGUCGAGGUCGUUUUCUGACGAGGCUUCUGGCGAGACCAGAUGAGGACACACGGGUUGAUGACGCUGUCGGUGGCGGCGGCGACUCCCGGGUCGACCCGGUCAGGGGCAAGCGAGGACUAACGGCCGAGAGUGAAGCGGGCCGUGGCGGUCCAUUCGGGUUCAGAGCUUACAAAGUAGAGGGAGAGAAAUAGGUGAGGUUGGUUUGGAUAGGAAUAAAUCAAAGGUGGUUGAUUUGAGGGAGAGACUAGGACUGAUUCAUGAUCGGGCCAUAUUUUUGUGCUGGGAUUUGCCGGAUCUGUGCUGGGAUUUGCCGGAUCGGUGGUGGUAUUUGGGGCAGAGGCCGUAACGAUGUCAAUUUUUUUUAAUUUUUUUUUUCAGACUUAGCGACGGAAUCCAAUAAUUCCGUCGCCUAAGUGCUUUGGAGACGGAAAAAUUCCGUCGCCUAAGUAAUUCUUAGUCGACGGAACUCAAUUUUUCGUCGCCCUAACACCUACCUCACAUCACUUAGGCGACGAAUUUUGUUAGUUAGGAGACGAAACUAUUCCGUCUCGUAAGUGACUUUUUCUAGUAGUGUGUGAUAGUUAAGGUAUACAAAUGUGUGAUAGUUACUUAAUUAUGAUAAAAUGGAAAGAAUAACGCCCUCAGUCACAUUGUUGGAAGUUUAAUCAAAUGUCUUCUUUGUCGUCCUAUUCGCAACUUGAAUCCGGCAAGCGGUCCGACCCUUUUUUUUUUGGUUACUAGUCACAAAUUGCAUCAAUCAAAUUACAUAAACCAAAUGAGAGACCAAACUUAAAUCAUUAUCCAUUGUUUUAAAUUGGUUUGGAGAUCGAUUAGUCAUCAAUGUAUGGAUUGCAUUAUUAACUUUGAUAACAAAAUAUCAAAUUCAUUCAAUCUUUUUACAUGUCCUCAGGGUUUAUGUCCUAUGCGAGGCAAAAUUUUAACUUAAUAAACCGAGCAUAGGGUUGAACCUCCCGGUCAAACUGUGCUAUAGGCUUCGUUCAGAAAAGAACAAAAGUUUUAUAUGUAAACGAUUCUGGACUCGCCGUUGUUUCACGUACACAAAAAGCUAGGGCAACUAGAUAAGUGCAGUUUUAGGAAUGUUACAUCUUAGUAGUUUUGAGUGAUCCACCUACCCCUGAAUAGCAAGACAACGUCAACGCCAGAGAGGAUGAAGAAAGCUACAUCAUAACACUGACCCGUCACUCACUUUUGCGAAUCGGGAAAGCGCUAAAACAUCACCUACUUAAUUUGUCCCAUGAGAUAUACAAAAUCACUAGCUUCUGAUACCUAGCUGCAUAUAUUUGUAAUGAUCGAAUUCAUCCCUUAAUGAAACAGCUAUAUGAAGAAUAAUAAUCUAUGCCAAUUACAAUGGGAAUGAGUUCAGAAAUCAGGUAGCAGAAACCAAGGGUGGGAAUGUGGGUUACAAGUUGUUAAGAAUCAUUAUUGCUUCCCUUAAUAAUUUCCUUUUCCUAAUCCACCCACUUCAAUUUUUUUUUUUUUCAACCUAGCUAUAUAUGCUGCAUAUUAUUUUAGUAGCUCUAUUAUUUUCAUUCUAAAAGGAAACACCAGUCCCCACUGACCAAGAGACAAAAGCAUUAUGAUACAAAUACGACUAGAAAGAUUUGCAACUGAUCGAUUUCGGCAGUUCGAUCAGAGAUUUGUUAAACUAUUUUUAGUAUUUCAAUCAAUCGGCCAUGUUGGUAGAGACCCUCCUAUAAAAAACAAUAUGAACCGAUCACAUAAGAUUUCAACAGUUUUAAAUUAAAACCGUUUUAAUUGUUUAAGACUUUGCGUUUAGUCCAAUGAUCAAUAAUUCUUCAUGCAUUUUCCAUCAAUAGUUCUUACUUAAUCGGUCCGUACAAUUGAAAUUCCAAUCCAAUAAGUAGAAUAAUAGAGUUCACUUAAACAUCCUGCAUACAAGAAUUUACAUUCGAAACUAAAAAAGACAAAAGAGCUUAUAAGAAAAGGUUAGAUAGUGUUGAGAAAAAUGGCCGACAAUAUUAGCUGUGGUUACUACAGUCAAGCAGCAUAUGGACCCGGGGCCAAGUCUAGGGUCGGAUACACUCGGACCUGUGGGUCACUUCGCCCAUUUUCUUCGAUAUUUGCUUGUCGGUAAAGAGUUUCUCAACAAAACUAGAAAUCAAACUUAGCCUUCAUUUUGUUUUCUCACGGUUAAUUACAGUUUUAAUCAUCCUAUCAAUUUGACACUAAACAAUUCGAAGUCCACGCGAGCUCGUAGAUGGUGCACAACACUCCCUGAAAGAGUGUACAUUCAUUUUGAGUAAAACUUGGGGAGUGUCAAAGCUGCUCUCCAUAUCUUUGCUUUGUUUUGGGGACGGUGGAGGAAAGCGCGUACAAUUAUUAUCAUGUUGAUUAGAUUAGUUGAUAUCAAGCAAAAUAAAAAUGAAAUCACAUAACUUUAAUACAAUUUGCUAUAUAUAUAGACCUCGUCUCCACUCCAAAACCCAAUAACCAUCUUCAACAUUCUAAAUUUCUAAUCCACAACACAAAACCAAAACCAAAACCAAAACCUCCACUCUCUCUCUCUCUCUCUCUAUCUCUAUAUCUCUCUUUCUCUUUGAUCUUUUGCACUUCAGAGUUUAGACACAACAUAGCAAAAUGUGCAUGCUGUCAACAAAGGCUACGUGCAACUCCCAUGGCCAGGACUCGUCUUACUUCCUAGGAUGGCAGGAGUAUGAGAAGAACCCUUUUCAUGAGGUCAGCAACACCAACGGGAUCAUUCAGAUGGGACUUGCAGAGAAUCAGGUAAUUAAUAUUUCUGGCCAAAAUUCACCCUUUUUUUUUUCUUGACGUGCACUCUUGAACCUUCCUGACGUUGUGUUUAAAAUUUCCUUUACAGCUCUGCUUCGAUAUUCUAAAGUCGUGGCUGGCGAAGAAUCCAGACGCAGCCGGAUUCCAGAGAAACGGAGAAUCCAUUUUCGGCGAGCUUGCUCUUUUCCAAGACUACCACGGCAUUCCAGAAUUCAAAAAGGCAUUGGCGGAAUUCAUGUCUGAAAUCAGAGGAAACAAAGUGAGCUUUGAUCCCAGCCACUUGGUCCUCACUGCCGGUGCAACCUCAGCCAACGAGACUCUUAUGUUCUGCCUCGCCGAGCCCGGAGAAGCAUUUCUUCUUCCUACUCCAUACUACCCAGGGUACGUACUCGUUAACUUUUGUGUACACUACGUAAAAAAUAUUAUGUUUUAAAUAUACUCAACGUAGAGUUACUGAUCUUAGUUACUUGCAUUAUCUUUCAGAUUUGAUAGAGACCUCAAGUGGCGUACCGGAGUUGAGAUUGUGCCCAUUCACUGCACUAGCUCUAAUGGCUUCCAAGUUACUGAAACAGCUGUAACAGAAGCCUACCAAGAGGCCCAAAAGCGUAAUCUGCGAGUCAAGGGCGUUCUGGUCACCAACCCAUCAAACCCAUUAGGAACAACAAUGACCAGAAACGAGCUCAACAUGCUCGUUAACUUCGUUGAAGACAAAGGCAUUCAUCUGGUUAGCGACGAGAUUUACUCCGGCACUGCUUUCAGCACCCCAAGCUUUGUCAGCGUCAUGGAAAUCCUCAAGGAGAGAGAGUGUGUCGACGAUAAUGGUUGUUCCGAACUUUGGAACCGAGUUCAUGUAGUUUACAGCCUCUCCAAGGAUCUUGGCCUUCCGGGUUUCCGAGUUGGUGCUAUUUACUCCAACGAUGACAGGGUUGUGUCUGCAGCAACAAAAAUGUCGAGUUUUGGACUCAUCUCUUCCCAAACUCAGUACCUUCUCGCUGCCAUGUUAUCGGACAAGAAACUCACCAAGAACUACAUCUCCGAGAACCACAAGAGGCUCCGACAACGGCAAAAGAAACUCGUAUCGGGACUUCAGAAAGCCGGCAUAAGCUGCCUCAAGGGCAAUGCCGGUUUGUUCUGUUGGGUGGACAUGAGGCACUUGCUCCGGUCCAACACUUUCGAAGCUGAAAUGGAGCUUUGGAAAAAGAUUGUCUACGAGGUCCGCCUGAACAUCUCUCCCGGAUCCUCGUGCCAUUGCACGGAACCCGGUUGGUUUCGAGUUUGCUUUGCUAACAUGUCCGAGGACACCCUAGACCUGGCAUUGCAACGCUUGAAGGCCUUUAUAACGGAAUAUUACAAUAUCCCCGAGGUGAAUGGACACCACCAAACCAUCCGCUUAAACCACUCGAGAAGACGGUCACUCACCAAGUGGGUUUUCCGGCUAUCUUUCGACGAUCGCAGCCCUAUCCCCGGUCGUUGAAAUUAAGAUAGCCUGGUUCGACUGUCAAAGGCGGAGAUUGUUGAAAGGAAGCACAUUCUUAGAUUACAUUAUUGGCCGAAGUAUUUUUAGCCAAUUUUUUUGGUUGGUUUUUGCCAUUAUUGUUAUCAUUUUUUCAAAUGUACGUAGGAAAGUGCACUCGGUCCACCUUAUGGAUUUGUAGUGGCUUUAGCUUCAUUUGUAAACCUAGUUUGAUGAGUCACUCUGCGUGGCAUGCACCAGAUUUUCGUAGUGUCUUCGAAACCCUAUUGGGAUUGUGAUUACGAUGUAUUAUGUUGAGUAUUAAUUCAAGACAACGGGAUUAAAUGUACUACUGUGCCUCACAGAUUAAUUAUAUUUAUUCCAAACUCAUGUGACUUCAGUGUGAACUUAAUCUUUUGCUUAGUAGCCAAUUGUCAUAUAAAAUAGCACACAAGUAACGGCGCCAUCGUAGUUUGCGGCUUCGGAAUUAAGACUGUGUCGACGCACACUGCCGACGUUGGCCGGCAGAUCGAUCUCCACUAAUCCUUGGUCGACCGCCGUAGCUUAACUAUUUUCAAGCCGUCUGUGUAGGAAAGUUUACUUUUAAUACCUUCUCUUUGCCCCAGUACUUUUUCAUAAAUUAUAUAUAGUUUACGGUGUGGUCAGGGUUAGAGGCUAAAGAUGUGGUCAGGGUUCCACUUAGGUGCCUCCACUUGGAUUCCAUAUAUGUGUUCAUUGAAAACUGAAAGAGAGACUGCAAAUGAAGAAAGUUGAAGCUCAAUGGGGAUGUUCAAAGGUGGCAUGUGAUGAUGAUCAUCUACGUAAGUGAGGUGCAUGAGGAAGAUCGAGUUGGUAGCAAGAAAGGUUAAAAAGAAAAGGUCGGGGUUAAAGGACUUUGUGAACUUUCUGGCCGGUAAGGAUGGAUAUGAGUGUGCUUCAAAAGUUUGUCUUGUACGUAGGGAAGUAUACGCGGGUUUGCUCAAUGAGGUGUAUGCUUGAUCUAUGAAAUAAUUAUUACAAGUCACAUUUUUUGUGUUUGGUCGGAUAUUACAAGACACUUUUGAGUUUACCCGGCCCUGUUAAUUAGGUACGUUACAUGUAUAAAAUAUAGAAGAAGAACUGUAAAAAUAAACUUUAAGAGUGUCUUCAGCUUUUAAGCAUAAAUGUAAUGCGAAAAUUUUUAUACGCACUAAGAUUGAUGUAAGUGAACCAAGUAACUAAUUAAUAUGAGAUAUCAACCUUUUAUUUGAUCCAAUUAACCACAUCACAUGCAUAUACUCAUAUAUAUAUAUAUAUAUAUAUAUAUAUAUAUAUAUAUAUAUAUAUAUAUAUAUAUCAGGGCCCCUUUCCCAAUGAGGGAUCCCUUUUUUUGUUUCAUUUUUUAGGGAUAGAUCAUUUCACGAACUUGUCAAAUCACAAAAAUCAAAAUCUCCACCGUUCAAUUCAUUAGGCUAUAUGAGUAGAUCAUUUAUACAAAUUUUCAGAAAAUUUAGGUGAUCGUUAAGUCAUCCAAAUAAGGGAUUGUUUUUAAUAAUCUUGAACGGUGUAGGUUUGACAUAAGUGUUAAGUUUUUGUUUUAAUCUCAACCAUCCAAGCUCAUUAAAAAACAGAUCUAAUGGUGUGGACCUAUCCCUAAAAAUGACAAAAAAUAGGGAUUCCUCAUUGGAAGGCCCCUGAUAUAUAUAUACAUACAUAUAUAUAUAUGCGAACGUCCUUAACAAAAUUGAAACCCAAAAAACUAGUUUAAAUGUUCCAAACACAAGAAGUGAGGACCUGAGGACAAAGAAUAGGUUCUUAUGUUAUUAGCGUUUAAUUUGAUCGGAUCAAAAAUGAGAAACUAGAAGAAGAAAUUGAGGGUUUCCAAACAUCAUUCUAUCUUCGGAUCUCUAAUCUGUUAACUUGCACAUUGGUAGUGCAAAUGUUGGUGCGAUGCAGGAAAUGACUUCCUCACUACUAAAAGAAAGUUCCACCCCAGUCACUACCGUGUGAGUUGUUUUAUUACAAGAAUUAGAAUAUAUGAGCAAAUUAAGUGAGUGAUUUGAUAGUCAUAGAUCGAUACUAGUCAAAGUAAAUUCAGCAUGAUAGAGCUAGUUUCAAACAUCAUAUGUAUCACUACCUUCGAAACAAAAGUAUCAUGCACCUACUCGUAUUCCCGCAAUUCCUGAGAUUUUUUAACAACCAAAUUAUCGAUCCAAGGACUACCGUUUAGUUUAGUUUGACUAUCACAUGAUUAAUUAGUUCCUAAUUUAGUUAACCCUCUCUCUUAGUAUCAACAACCACUUCGAUCCCAUGUGACAGAGAUAGUAUAACGUUGCCACCCCUUGUUGACAUAGAUGAUAUAUCAUAUUAUAAAAGUGUAUCAGAAAAAUAAUAAUGCAAAAGAAAUGGUUCCUACCAAUAAUAUAAUGUUUAUGUUAUAGAAUAACUAAUUCACCUACCAUAUGCAUAUUCUAUUUCCAGAUUACAAUUUGGUUAUGAGGAUUCUUUGUAGUUUCAGAAACAUAACCUCCCCAACGGUCCAUGAUCUUUGCAUGUGGAAAGAACUAAUUAGUUAACGUUUAUUAUCAAUGAAGGAAAAAUAUAUAUUUGUAAACUGAAAUUUGGUAUCAAUUAAAAUAUAAAAGUCAGAAUUUUUGUCGAUUUCAAUCUCCCUUCUUGUUGACUAUAUGCAUGUGGUUUUUGCUGCAUAAUUCUGCAUUGGUUUAUAUGAUUCAGUUCUGGUGAACUAAUUCUGUUAUAAACAAAACCGAUCGAGGAUCGAUAUAUCAUCAACUGGAAAAUCUCAGGUAGGUCUACCCAUUAUGAUCCAAUUUUUGAUUAGUUUUAAUGUAGUAGCUCCAUCUUGAAAUCUCUAUUAUUAAGAUCUUUCAACGCGUUUUCGUUAAACUAUGUUCUUCAACGAGAACAUUCAAUCUGAUCCUGGGCGGCAGAUGGGGGUAUAUAUUCUAUAUAUUCUUCAGCAGUUUGAGAAAACCCUAGCUAAAGCUAAUAUAUUAAUUCAAUCAAAUCACUUUCUUUAAUUAGGACCUUUAAUCCAGGCCAAUUGAAUACUUGGUCAUAAAGAAACAUACACUUUAGGUCUUUAAUCUUGCUUAUUGGCCAGCUUUGGUGCAGGUAAUUUAAUUAAGCACAGCAAUGGCGGAAGAGUCUUUACGUCAAGUUUCAAACACAGGGCUGUUCUUCUGUUCAUGUGUCCAGUCUGUGGGCAGUGCCUCUCUCCUAGGUUUGAGAGUCGUCGGAACAUUAGAAUUUGGUAUACGUAAACGUUCAUAAUUUGUUAUUGGAUUCCUCUUUUUGACUCAAUUAAAAAAGGAAAUUGUAAUAGAAAAAAUUAACAAAAAAAUGCGCUUUAGUCAUUCAGUUAAGAUGAAAUAUACCGAGUUAGCUAGGCAGUGUCUAAGUCAGCUAGUACAGGCAACUCAAUGGUUUUUCAUGCAGACAUGGAAAUUAAAUUUCAGACAUGAAAACCUUUGACAAAUGAAGCUGUUUCUCGACAAAGUAACAGACAUAAACAUUACGAUUACACCUCUAAAGCUAUCAUAAGGGAACAUUGACAAGAAAGUUAAGGAAGAAAUUAACAAAGGACUAGUCUAAACUAAUAUUAAUUAGAAGGAUAGGACGAUGUUAGUAUUUAAACUAGGAAGCCCUUCUAGUGAAGACCCUUAAGUUGAGGACUUGGUGAGGACUUUUCGGCUUAUCCCACCUUUCGAGCUUAUAUCUAUAUCUUGACCGUUCAGUUUAUAGGUAUUUAUGAGUAGAUCAUUUCUUCAAAUUUUCAACUAUAUUGAAAAUUGUUAAGACAUUCAUAAGUGUGAUUUAUCAAUUAUGAACUCGAACGGUUCAUAUUUGACAGAUUUGGUUCGUCCAUUAAUUUGAUCUAGUUUGUUAUCUUAACGAACACCAAUUUAGAUGAAAAUUUGUAUAAAUGAUCUACUCAUAUAAACCUAAAAACUGAAAGGAUGAGACGUCAAAAUGUGAUCGAAAAUUGAGUCUUUUAAACCAUAAACCGAAAAGUCCUCACCAAGUCCUCAACUUAAGGGUCCUCACUAGAAAGGCUCCCAUCUAAACUAAUGGAUUAUGAAUUGGGGUAGUUUUUUCAGUUGACAUCAGGAUAUGACAAUUUAGAUUACGUGCGUAUGGGUGACAUGUGGGUUUCACAUGAGCAAAGGCCAUGCCAGGGGAAGCACAUGGUAGGGGAACAUAGAACACCUGCUGCUAUGUCAAUUUCAAUUCUGCAAAUUUAAGCUAUGAAUAUUGAAGACGGUAGGGUUUUAGGGUUUUUGUUUUGAGGCUCAAUGAAAGAAGCAACCUGGUAUGCCCUCCCCUUGCCCAUGCUCACUUGGAUGGAGACAAUGAGGGUCACCAUGAACAUGGCUCACUGAUCUCUCAUGGCACUAUAAUGCCUCCUUACCCACUUCCCAUGCCAAGAAAUCUUGAAUACAACCUACACUAGAGCUACCAGGUCUUAUAUAUGAGGAUCCACAUAUGAAUAGAUAGAUCAGUUUUGUUCUUGGAAUCAUUAUGUGAAAUAAUGAUUGGACAAUGAGAUAUUGUCUUCAUUUACAGGGCAUCUGAUGGAAAUGUUUUGUAAUUUUUCACUAAUUCUGAGCUGUUUUUGUUCCCGAGCUGAAGCCUCUUUGAUUUUCUGCCGGAGAAGUUUAUCAGCAAGAAAUCAUGGGGUAUAUAUGAAACAGAAACUUGAAAGUGACAACCAUAUAUUUUUGAAGCAUGUUUCCUGGCCUGUACGUACAGUUGUUCAUGCAAUACUUUAUCUAAAUGUUUUAACAGAAAAUCAGUUAAAAACUUAAAACAAAUUAAUUUUACGGCCAAUUCGUGAGGAUAUAGUUGAAUAACGCAUACACCACAUCAUACAAAUUCAAACAUAAUAAGCAUCAAGAACGUUAAUCAACAAUAAGAUCGUAACAAAACAAGCCAUCUUGGAUGCUAUAUAUCUUUUGCUCUUUACAUAUAUUCUUAGGCAUCUGGUACAAGGUACAAUGGGACUCAAGUCACUCAACGAUUUGCUUCUGUGCGUGUUUGUUAGAACUGGGAUUUAAGCUUCAUAAAAAUAUCCACGAGAGAUUUAUCCAUAUUGAUCCACUAGGGUUUCCCAAGACAUUAACAUGCAAAAGCACAAACCGUAUUCAUGUCCAACAUGAACUUGUAUCAGUAAAUACGAAACAACAGAUUUCCAUAAUGUAUUAAACUUGUAUAUAUCACACUAUCACAUGCAUGAAGACUAGCUUAUAGACAACCGACGAAUAAACUCAGUGUCUUGGCCUGCUAGUCUUUAUAAAUACUGCAAAAUUCAUCAGGAUUUGAUGAAGGUCUAAAGCUGGCCUAUUUUUUCAUCAAUGGGAUCACUUUGCAGGAUAUGCUCCUUGACAAAUGUGGCAAUGACCUAUUAAUUUGUUUGAGAGUUCAGUAGAGGUCAUUAUCAAAAACGAACCAAGGCGGACUGGACAACCAUGACUUUGUUUCCCUUUGCAGAAAGAACAUGCAUGCUGCUUGUAACAUAUAAUUUUUGACCGGCCAUGUUUGAUUCAACAGGUUUUCUCAGCAACCAUGGAAAUCUCCAAGAAAGUCCAGGUCUACUAAUUAAGAAGGUGCAGGGAAAUCAAAGAUUCCCAUACCGAUCUGCCAUGGACUCAUGGGAUGUGUAGUGUUUGCUUUUUCCAACACAAAUUGUGCAUGCUUUGUUCAGUUUCUGUAAGAUUGCUUCCAAAAGUUGCAGAGAUAUCCCCGAUAUCGCGCUAAGCAUAGCUAGUAUGUGCUUUUCACGAAGCUGAUUUAAGACUAAAAGGAAAUUAAGCAGGGCACGCCCAAACUAAAGCUAGCUAAACUUUCUGUUUAGUGGCACGGUGAGGGUCACACUUAUGUACAACGGUCCCCAAUUGUCGAUGUAUAUGGCAUCAACUUCCAAAUUUGUAUUAAAAAGCCAUAUGCUACAGCCUACAAGUGACAGGAUCCACCCCUAAUUUCACCCUGAAACCCAAGGUAAAUCCUGCGGGGUCCACCUUCAAGGAAAAUUUACCGAAAAUUCGGCAUAACCUUCCUUGAAAAUUGACAACCAUUACCUGAAAAAUUCAACUUAAUACUUCUAUAACCAAACAAACCAGCCUCAACACCUGGAGCCUUCCUGCUCCCCAAGAUCAACACAUCUCCCAAUAUAACAAUUACUCAACUCUAAUAAUCCCACAACCAAGAAUAAGGACUAUUAAUAAUUUACUAUUGGACUUUCAGAGCAUAUCUAAAGUUGAACGAAAAACAACGAAUAAAGAAUAUGCGGAAGCAGCCUCUGACUAUGCCUCAACUCCAUGUACGCUCGACCUCCUUUAAAACUUAACCUGCACACUGGGCAUUUGAAACCAAAGGGCCCAGGGAAAAGUAAUAUAAAAACGUUAGUGAGUGGACGAAAAAUUAAACAAAUAACUGAUCGCAACAUAACUAACCAAACUUAAUUACUUUCCCAUUUUCCAAUAAUCAAGAAAUCUGUUGCAUGCAAGUGUUGAUAAAACUUUCAUAAAGAAAAUCUCAAGAAAACAGACUAGCCCCGCUAGUCAAAUUAAUGACAAAAAUAAAUAAUAACCUUCAUAGAAGAAGGUACCAAAACAAGGGACUAGCCCCGCUAGUCAAAACGACAACAAUAAAUAAGAAACAAAUAUAGCCAUACAAGUGAGCCUCCCAGACUCGGUUGCCUCCCAGGCAAUAGUACUCCCAUACUCCCUACACCUUCAUGUUAUGAUAACAGAGAGGAUGUAGGGCUUGCGUGAUGUCGUCGACUACAUCACAUCACCCGAAGGCGGAAAGGGCUUGAGUAACCCCACUUAAAACGUGGAAGUUACAUCGCCUCGAAAGGCGGAACAACAUGGUAGCAUUAGUAAUAUAUUAUCCGACAAGUAUGGCAUAAGUAAAGAAUCAUAUAUCCAUGUGAGUUUCCCCGAAACUCAUAAUUAAAGCAUAAGUACGAUUCCCAACCGUACUCAAAGAAUUCAAAGAGCAAAGAAAAUAAUUAAAUUCAAUGACGUGUCCCACACGUUAAAAUGCUCAAUGAAAUAAUUAAUUUAAAUAAUUUUCACCUUUCGAAAACCUGGCAAUAUGCAAAUCUGGAUAUAAUCUCAAAUCCGGAAAUCAUAAAGAAAAUCCAAACUCAAAUCUCAAAUUAUCAAUCCGAGCUCAAAUCCAUAAAUUAUGACCAACAUUUAAUCCAUGCAUCAAUCUUAAAUAAUUUCCAAGAUCAUUUCAUAUGCCGAAGUUAUAAUAUAUGCUCGGAAAAUAAAAUACUAAUUUAUAAAAUCUUGCAUGCAUGUUAAUUAAAAACCAAAAUGUCCACUCACAGAUUUAGGCCUAAGCCUGACGAAUUCCGAAUCACCACUCAAGCGUGGUCUCCUCGAAUCCUGGUACAACAACUAUGUUUAGGACCAAACUUCAAUGCCGGAAAAUAAUUACGUGAAUAAAAAAUAUCUAACUCUUUUCUGUUUAACCCACUACUCUUAUUAGGGUUAAACUCACCGGAUUCACAUCAAACUCCACCACAACCUCAAAUCAUCAAUUCUAACAUUCCAGGCUAAAUACUAAGGAAAUUCAACGGCCGGAUUUUCAUUCUAAUAACCGGCAAAAUCUUUAAUCUUUUAAAAAUCCCAAACCUUAUCAAAACUUCUCCAAAAAUUCUAAACUAUAUUUCAUUAAACUCCUCUCAUUAUAAAAAACCCAAAAACCUGAAAAUCAACCUCCAAGUGACGGCGCCGCCACUUGCUCCGCCGGCAGCGGCGGCCGGCAGCCGUACUCUUACGGCGACCAAUGCCUCCCAAAUUUUGACAGAAUAAUCCUCUCAUCACGCACAACAACUUCCGUAACUAGCACUUAGUCCAAUUCUAAGCCUAACUAGGGUAAUCGAAUCAAAACAUCUAAAAAUUCCCCAAUUCAAACCCUAGCCCGAAAAUCCUCCUACACACUUCGAAUUGGAUCAUUACCUUCUAGGAAAAUGUUACACACGGAGAGCACUUCCCAAUGGAACUGAAAUCACUAGAAAUGGUGGCCGGAGGAGCGAGUUCCGGCGUCGGGACUCCACCACGCAGCCGGAGCUUCCGGGAGAGCUCUCUCCCUCACGGUGGCACUAAGGCAGCUCUCAUCGGUCCAGGAAGAAGGCUGGGUCGACGGCUGACCGUUUGGGACCGGUGCGCCGGUCUAUGGUGGCCGGACGGCGGCGGUCGGAACCAAGGAAUCCGGCGGGUCGGGGUAGGCUCGGGAGAGAGAGAGAGAGAGAGAGAGAGAGAGAGAGAGAGAGAGAGAGAGAGAGAGAGAGAGANNNNNNNNNNNNNNNNNNNNUAAAAUCCCACUCCAACAAUAAAACACCUCCAAAAAUACCUACUAAAACAAUUAACCUCUCUUUACCAAAUAAAGUCUACUCUUUUUAUCUAAUCAAUUUUUCAUGCUAACUCCGAUUUUAACGUUUAGCAUGUCUACGAACUCGUAUUAACGUCCUUUACAACUUUCAUGAAGAAAGUUUUCCCAAAUUCCAAACGAAAGAAAAAGUCAACUUUUAGAGUCUUAAAUAGUAAACGGUUACUUAAAACAGUAAAAUGUCAAAGUAACCCAAAAGUAAAUAACCGCAAAUUGACUUAAGAACCGGGAUGUGACAACAAGAGGACGUACUGCCACUUCAUCCUUCUAUACAAUGACUUAUUUGGAAUGAUGCAGUAGGAACUAGGAAGUAUGGAAGGAUAACAAGUGUUAAACCAUAAAAAAGAUUGAUUGUCUACAAGUGAUAAACUCUUUAAUAGAACUCUGAAGAGAAAACUUUUAAGUUUGAUUGAUAAUAAUAUGAUAGAUGAGUUUACAUUCGUUUAAGAAUGGUUAUAUAAUGGCAAAACAUACCCUAGGCCAACUAAUUAACAACAAAGCCUGAAAGCCCACGAGCUGAUAACAAAUCAAAUCCAAAACGAACUAGAAAACCUAAAAUAAUAUUAAAUGCCGAAUCAGAUUAUUAAAAUGAUAUCUUUUGGCCUAAAACUGAUAGGGCGGCUCAAUAUAGUAAGUCUUGUAGAUCUCAUCAUUCCUAUUAUGGAAAUGUAUUAUGUGUUCCAAACAAACGUUCUGACCAAAAGUUACUCCAAAACAGAAUCACAUAUAUUAAAAUCAGAUUUUGCAUGAACAACUCAGAAAGUCUAAAACCACAUCUUCUUGAAUAUUCAAGCGGCUAGCAAUCUCAUAAUACGUGAAUUACCUAUAUUAAAAUCAUGCUUCUUGAUUCUACACCGCUUCCUUACUUUUAUCUUUUUCUCGCUAAUUUGAGUUUGUUCUCGUCCUACAUCAUGAAAGGUUGAAGUAAAUGGAAGUUUGCUUAUGCAAUCUAGGGACACGUAUUUUGUUUUUUUAAGACUUAUUUGUUAAUUCAAUGAACACAACGCUUAAUGUAGUGCAGUCAUCAGAAAUUAAACUCUUUUACGAUACACAAAUUGAUGUGGUAAAGACUAUGCCAGGGCAGAAGUUAACAACUAAAUAUGCAUUAGAGUAGAGAUACUUCUACUGUUUUAGCUGAAAAGUUAACUAAUGGAUAAUGUAAGAUGCUAACGCGCUUUUAUUGUUGUUAUUAGUAUUAAUACUCUCCAAAACUUACUAAGGCAUGCAGUUGUAUUACCAGACAUCACUAUGCAAAUGUGCUACGAAAUAUCUUUGGAGGUUAAGGAUUCGGCUUUAACUUUGCAAGGACUACAAACGGGACCGAACUCUGUCAAAGGAAAUACAAAGUGUCGUCAAGAAAUGAGACUGUGUCUAGCGGUAUUCGCUACUCCGAUGUCUAAGUCAAUCAAUGUAUUUAUGUUGACAGAAUAACGGUAGAUAAAUAGUAGAUGUGUAGUUAUUAUAGAGAGAGAAUGUUACCUUUUAAAAGGGUUGAGUUUUCCUUCUCUUCGAUGUGGGAUUAAAGUCCCAAGUGGUUUCAACAAAGCUUCUGUUGUACCUUCUUGGCGUUGCGUGUGAGGGCGCGUCCUAGCGUACCGGGUGAGGCUUGACGGCUAACGUGACUAUUGUUGUACGUUGCUGCUACCUUGUUGAUGAUAUAGGCAGUUCAGGCCAGUCUAGCGUUUAUGUCUGGUUUAGGUGUUGCUAAUUAUGGUUGCUUAGGCAUAUGCAUCUACUGGGAAGGUCUUUAGUACAUGUUAUGUAUGUUCACAUACCAAGUGGAUGGCUAAGAUUGGAUGACAAUAAUCGUUUACCUCACAUAGACGCGACACUCGCAUGACUGAUCGGACACAUGCAUGGUCGUGUAUACGAGACUUUUCACAGACUUCAACUAAAUUAAACCUGAAAUGAAUCAAUUCCAAUCAAAUUGACCGCUAAUUGGCCCAAAACCCAAACAGUCCCUUAGUUUGGGUUCUCAAACCUAAUAAUUAACUAGAAUACCCCUAGUUUUGGGUCGGACAAAUUUCAGAGGCUUUGAGAAGAAUCGGACAAAACUCCACUCCAACAGUCAAAUGUCAAACUUUUCUGGGCUCAACAUUAGGAUUAGCAGCCUAAUAACAAAGGAAAAGGGAAGUGGGCUGGUACUCUAAUGUUGUUGUAGCUGUUGGAAUGUUGGAUGGUUUAUUACUUCAUUAGCAAAAUAGAGUUUCUUUUGUUCAUCGCUGUUGAGCGAAGAUUACUAGCUCGAGAGUUGAGAUAUUGAUAGCUAUGUGUUGUAACAUAUUCUUGCCUCAUCCUCCUCUAAAGAAAAGUUUUCAGCGUUCUUGCAUAGUUGGGCAUUGUCGUUGUCAUUUCUACGGUAUUUCACUGUGGUAAUCUCGUUGAAUUACAAACUUAUUAAUUUCUGCAUGUAGGAAGAAGCCGAAUGUGAGGUUAAAGAUUAGUGGCUGUUAUCUAUUUCUUUGCAAUUGAAAUUGAUUCAACGUGUUUACCAUCUCUAAUUGAAACUUCAUUUGGUGUCCAAGAAGUCGACAUAUAUAUUUUCCAAAACAAACGAAAUAAUGAAAUUUCAUAUCAACAAAAAUAGGUAAUUUGAUGAACUAUCGCACUCCCAUCAUUAAUUUCGAGUUCCUGCCUUCCACAAUCAAUUCAAUAACAAAAAUUGUGUAGCCGCUUCUUCCUUGGAAACAGAAUAAAGGAUCGAUAUUGGAGUUAGCUAGGACAUUUGAGGACAUCGAUUUUGCGCCAGAAAUUAUUGAUUGUUUAGUUAAGCUGAUCGAUCGACAAAGUAAAGAAUGAAAACAAAAUAGAGUAAUUUAAAAUACAUAUUCUCAGGUUAGUGAGUGUCAAUAUCACUACAUAAUUAAUUAAAUAAGUAGGGUUCUAAUUAAGCAAUCGUUAAUGUGAUUAUAGUCUCAUAGAAUAAGGAAAAGCUUGCAAGAAGGUCGUCGGGGGGUUUUUGUCUUCUCAUGGGUGACAGCACAAGGCUUCAAUCAAGGUUCAUUUGUUUUGUUAAUUAGUUAAGUACUAAUUGUUUCUUCUUUAUCAAAUCGAUUAGAUGGUGCAUGUUCUUAAAGGUAGAUUUAAUAUUUUUUUGGCAAUUAGUAGCUUUAAUACUUAGAAGUGCUUUUGGUUGUUCGUAUGUUAAGAGUCUUUUCUCUCCUGCUUCUUCUCGUCGAGGAUUAUUCUUGUUCAUCACUGUAAUCACUUUAUAACACUAAUUAGCGUACUUGAUUCUAAUUAGUUAUUUGGCAUAUUGUUUGCAACUUUGCAUGUGUUCACCUAUAUACCACUCGCAGGAAAUUGCUGAUUUAAGCUGGCAGUGGAUCGAGUUGGUUAGCAUUUGGAGUUCAAGUGCUUUCUUCUCCAAUAUUGGAAGAAUAAUUGGUAUAAUCUUUGUGCAGCCAAAGUAUUGCACAGGCCGCAGCAAUAUGAUGAGGGCAUCUAAAUUGACAAGAUUAAGUUGCUAAACUUGAUGCGUCUUGUACUGAAGAAUCGUUUAGAUUUCAGUAACCGUUUGGAUUUAGAAUCAGGUAGCUAGAUUGGUUGAUUUCCAACACUUCGAGCUGAUGUUAUCAUCGGCCCUAUUAGUUUGAUAAUUUUUGCUUGUGUUUUUUUUCUUUUUCUCAUUUUUAUUUAGAGGGAGCAGUAGCAGAGGCCCUUUUGACAUUUUUCAUUCAGAUGGUAGUGCGUAUGACAUGAACUAAGCAGCCCAUCUGCCUUUUGCUCUUGCUUGAUGUCACCGCUUACACACAAACUCGUUUUCGAAAACCUUUUUGAUUUCUGUAUAUAACUAAGGUUUAACUAGGGUUUCUUGGUCUUCACCUAGAUCAUCAUCAUCGUAUAAAGUCGCGCGUUAUUAUGGUUUUGAGGCAUAUGCAUCAAAUAAACCUGUAUUUUCGAACAAUAAUGGGUUAGAAAAACAGUAUUUUAUAUAAUCAGUUAAGGGUUAAAUUUCAUUUUCAAUGAAAAAUUCAUUCAAAAUUAUGAAAGUCAUGAGCUAGCGGCGAUAGAUACUAAACUAAAAGGCACUCGCCAAUAUAUAUAACAAGCAAGAGAGAAAACUUAGCUGUGCAUAUAUGGUCAUAUAUAGAGAGAGAGCAUUAUAGUUUUGUGGUUGUCGGCAUAAUCAAUGAUUGUUCAUUUCUCCAUGUAUUGACAAAUCAUCCAAAGAGUUUUCAAAAGAUGUCAACAGGUUCGGAUUAGGAAAAUGAAAAGAAAACAUUAUUAGCCAACCACGCAAUAUAUAAGAACAGAAGUCAAGAUGAUCUUAGUUUUAGCUUUUAAACAACUUCUUGUUAAUUAUAUUAACGAUCGAUUAUUUGAGUCGGGCGGGCCGGUUUGACCUUUAAAAGAAAAAUAAAGGUGGCAUAUAUAGCCUUGUCUAGAAUGAAAAGUAGAAUAUAACUCAAUUAUUCGCAACUUUUUAGCUCAUGAGUCAUGUUUUUUUUUGUUACGAUCAAUAACAUUUCAUUACAACCAUAUAUAUGUGAAUUGCAUACAAAUUAAGAAAGUGGGGUGUGAUCGAUAUCUGUUAGAUUAUCAUGUUUGGAACUAUAGAUAGAAUUGGAUUAAAGAAUAACCAACAUCGGGGGAGAAACAAUAUAAUUUUGUGAUCAUGAUCAUUCAUAUGAUCAUCGUUACAUAUUAAGAAAAGAAAAUAGAUAUGAAAAACCCACUUGUACUACAUAAAGAAUGGAGAACAGUAGUUUUUUUUUCCUAUGAGUGAGUUGAAGUAAUUAACUCGAAUGGAAUAUCAACAAUAGCAUUCAUGAAUUUGUAUCAUGUUCCCAUUCAUGGUUUGAACACUCUGACCCGUUCUUAGGCUGCUUCCAGUCUUGAUUGAAACAAAUUAACUAGUCAAAAUCUAUAUUUAUGGAUUUUCCUAAUAUUUUCUUUCCUUGACGUGAUGGUUUAGCAACACCGAGGGUGGGAUCAAAUCAAAUGGUGAUGAAACCCAAAUCUGGGAAAUGUCAUGGAUGGAGAUCCAGAAUCAAAACAUGAGAGGACACUAGUGGGUUACUUUUUGACUGCUUAAAAAACAGGUGGAUCCUAGCACGCAGAAUUAAUCAAUCAUUUCACAAUUAUGCAGAACAUGAAUAUAUAGACCAGUGUUAAAAAUGGGACAAUUAACAAUAUAUUUAGGACAACUUAAUUUGGAACUAGUAUUCGUUCAGUGAAUUAUUGUUUUUGUUUUUUCACUUUUUCAGAGUUGAGAGUGAUAGAUAGAGUUUCUGCAAUAUAUGGACAGUGCGAGAAGGCCCUAGAACGCCUAGCAGUAGUGUGUGUAUCUGUUUGCUGUUGUUUCUGGGUUUUUGCUGAUAAAUCUGGUGAAUUAUGAGGGUAUUUUUUUUUUUUUUUUUGUAUGAGGUGAAUUUAUGAGUUGCAUUACUUGCUUUGUGUUUCUUUCUUCUUCUUUUCUUUACGAGGAUUGACUUAUUUUUGGGACACAAGCUUUACUACUGUAAUGCUUCUCAGUUCAUUAUUCGAUCUCGUAAAACAAUUACAUGUUAAGGUCCAACGAGCUAGUGUUGUCAAGUAUUUUCGAUAUUAGUGAUUGACUGCAUUUUAAACUUUUGAGCUUGACUCUGGGGAUUGGAUAGGCUAGCUAGCUGUUCAUAUAUAGCUUAAUUGUCAAUGUUGUUUAACUUGGUGCUCUCUUUUCUUUGACGAUCUCCUUUUGACAUGUGAAGCACUUUCGCUUUCCAAUUCUAAUUAUAAACGGUGUGAGCAACUUUUCUUCUUUUUUUGAGAUCGAUGUUUUAUCCAUAAAUAAGGUGAUAAGUAAAAUACAUGUUUCAUAUAUUCGUUCAUCUUGAUCAUCUCAAAUGCUAUAUAGCACCAGAAUUAAAGGCAGACCUUUUGGAUGAGUACUAUGCUUGAGACAUAAAACGCAAAAUAUAGGACUAGAACAUGCAUGCAACAUUGCAUUCUAACAAAAGAACAACAUAUUGAUCUUCUUCAGUACGGCUGUGUAUCUACACAUAACGUUGAUGACUAAAAGAUUGAAUGACAUUAAUAGCUGAUUUCAUAUUCCACAUAAGCAUGACCGAGUCUAUAAUAGUGAUCGAUUUGUUUAUUUUAUAAUAACCUUGUUAUAUACAUUUAAACACAUUAAUGUAGCCGGGAGCCCCUACCCAAUUUAAACUCCGGUUUGAUCUUAAAAGUUGCAAUUACACAUCACUGAAAUCAGAGUAGAGAAUGUGUUUCCAGAGCUCCUGUUGUCAGUGCUGACACGAGGAAAACUAUAAAGGAAUGCAGCCACAUUGUGAUGCCCUAUAUGCUAAAGCCGAACAGGUUAUUGCCAAAAUAUCAAAGCACUUUGCACCACUUUAUUAUAUCAUGGAGGGUUCAUCAAACAGGUACUUCUGUUCUGUCACAUGAAAUUCAACCCAUUUCAAAGUACCUUUUUACCUUGUACCUCUAACUGAGAGAGAUAUACACAACAUUACAGAAGUAAUUCCUCAAAAUACUACACCUGAGACUAGUCAAUAGAAUAUGGUAUCCCAAAUUGGGAUUCCCAAUAUGACUGCACCCAGACUCGGACCCAUGCAACUGCAGAAGAGCACAGCUAAAGGCAUAAGCUUUGAAGAUCCUAAGUGACCCAGAUCCGUUCUUGUUCUUUAGGAAAAACUAAGACUGAGAGGCACAACAUAAGUUGGCAUAGUAGUUUAAGUAUGAAACUUCAGAAGUCAUGCAUGUUCAUAUAUGAGAUUACACUUUUCUGUUGCGACUGGUAAUGUGAAUGACACACGAAUUAAAGCAAAAAUUCACUUGAAAGAAUAAUUCAGAUUGACAGUCUAAUUAAUUAAUGUAUACAACAUGCUAGAAUGUCUGACAAGAAAACACUUUCCUGGACUUCAUCAUGAAUAGAAAGGCAAACAAGAAGCAACUGAGAGAAACUAUAGCUGUUAAAAGACCGUUGAAUUGAUGUCUAAAGCAAAUUAAUCCUACUGAUGGAUCCUCAAUCCAUGAUGGCUUUCUGAAAUUCAGGUACCUAAACCCUCAUGGUCUAAAUUUACAAGAGCUCCACAAACCAUGUACGUUAACGUUGAUAUUUCAUGGCAAAAUAGUUGGACUCGGCAAAAGCUGAAUCUGAUGGCCGCACGACUUGUUGGCAACUAUUUUCGUAGUCAGAAACCAUCGGAGUUGUUGUACUGUAAACCAGGGAGUUUAUGUCUCCCCAACUAAUUUCACUCUCUGCAGAAGUACUAGUAGUCCCUCCAGUGCUACCAUUGUUCAAAGUCUCCAUUUGAUAAAAGCCAGCUAAACCAUCAUAUUGUUGAUGAGGUAAUUGGCUGUUGCCGUAAACCAAUUCGCUUAGCUCCGCCUCUAGAUCACUCUGAUGAUCAACCCCAUGAAACAUGGUCGGACUUGGACUUGGACCCAAUUGAGCAUAGUUGGUGUUGGCUACUGGUGAACAAGUAGUAAGCAAAUGAUCGAUACUGGAGUUCUGAUAGAACUGAUCUGAUGAGGUUGAGGAAAUGUGAUCAAUAGGUGGAUACAUAGAACUUGUGGUGUCAGAAAAUCUUCCUCCAAGUUUGAUCAGCAUGUUCUUAAUGGAUGCCUGGUGGUCAUCAAGUACUUGAGCGUCAUGGGUUUGAUAACUCAUCACUGGCAAUACAGGAAGCUCUGGUGCCCAGUAAGGGUUUACUUGGUUAUUCACAAAGCCAUCAGGAGGAAGAUGAAAGUUUGUUGUAGUAGUACUUGAUCUCUUGAUCUCUUGCUUCAGGCUGGCGGCAGCUCUACGAUUCUGUGCUUGAUGUUCUUUGCGUUGCUUACCCAAAAGCUUCUUCUUCAGCCUUGUGUUCCAGUAAUUCUUAAUAUCAUUGUCAGUUCGCCCUGGUAAUUGGGCUGCAAUGAUAGACCACCUACAUAUACGUACGUACAUAACAAAUUAGAAAUUUAGAAUCACUUGAGUUUUAGAUUUUUUAGCAACUUAGUUUGGAUUAGGCUAGUGAAACAACACAACUAGCUAAAGAUCUGCAACCCUCUUGCAUCAAAAUUAGGGAGAGAAGGGAGCGAAAUGAUCACUGGAUAAAGUGUUAAAAUGAUAGCCUUGAAAAUUUAGUAUUACCUGCUUCCAAUAUUGAUAUAGAGGCUGCAAAUGAUGUUAUCUUCUUCCUCAGAGAACCCACCGUGCUUGAUAUUGGGCCGGAGAUAAUUCAACCAUCUCAGCCGACAGCUCUUGCCGCAUCUUUUAAGACCUAGGGAUCAGAAGUGUGGAUGAUGAUAAGCUAACAUGAUAGAUUAGUUUUGUUAAUUCAUUUAGUGGAUUAGUAAUAUGAUGAUCGUAGAUUGGUACUGACCUAUCUUCUGCGGCAAGGCAAUCCAGUUACCACCAGUGCCAUGCUUGUCAAUGUAAGACUUGAGUUUGGCAUCUUCUUCAGGUGACCAUGGGCCUUUCUUGACCUUGGUUUUGUCACAGCAAGGAGCUCUCCCCAUGUCUUUUAUUGAUCUGGGUUGCUGCUCUAUGUUGCAGUAACUAAUGAGGAGAUGGUUCAAGUAAGCUCAGCUACCUCUAUAUAUGUAUAAGAAUGAACCCACUUGAUGAUAACGAUAACGAUGACAUUGUUAAUAAUAUAUAUACUAUAAUUUGAGAGAGGUAGUAUAAUAGCUGGAGAGGGAGGGGACUGGGGACAUGGAAAACAGUGGAAAUGGUCACAGAAAUUCAAAAAGGUGAAGUGGAAAAACGAUUACCCAAUUUUUUGAGUAAACAAAAAGAAAUAUUAUAAGGGAGAAAAUGGAAAUGCCAGAAGAGGAGACCAGGGUUUUAUCUCAUUGUCCUUCUUAGUCUGGAAUCUGUAAAAACAUAUCUCAGCCAUCCCACCUUGACUCUCUCUCCUCUUUUUCUGCGUGUUAGUGGAUGAUGAUGAUGGUGAAGACACAAGUGACGCAAGUACUAUAAGGUAAAAGGGGUGAAGCAAACAGAUGAGACAUCAGCUGGGGUUGAAUUGUUCCUGCGAUAAUAAUGUCUGUGAAGGUUCCUCAUGAUCGAUCAUCAUCAUCAUCCCAGUUUAACUGGCUUCAAUAAUACGAGUGAGAACCAUUCAUCCUUCAGCAGCCAUCGACGUCGUCAUAGAGCACUAGGGCCUAGUCAGGAAAUUAUUACCUUUUCCUAUUUGCCAUCAUAGUACUAUGUUCGACUAGUUCACCUCAAACCAACUUGUCCACCACAAUUUUAUGAAAACUGCAUGAGCAACAAAAUGAGUAUAUUUCACCAUCAUUCACACGUUAUUUGCUCGACAUAGAUGGGGCCGUGUUAAUUUGUAACGUACCCCGUAGAGGUAUGGCCCUAUGCCAUGCGUGUUACAAUGCAUGCCCAAUUAGAAUGGAAAAGAAAUGAUACAUGUGUACUAGAAAUCUCAAAUGGGGGUGUUAAUUAAUAAGUUUGAGUACUAAAUAAUAUAGCUUUUUGUCAUGCAAUUAGUUCUAAAUUAGAAUCACAUAAUACAUUAGAUGUCACGUCAUUGAGUUUUUCAAAUUUGAUAUAAAAAUUCUGGUUUGAUUAUAUUGUUGAUUUGAGAAAGAUACCAUAAUUAAGUUUUUAGUUACAAAAAAUAUUUAUAAAUUAUAAAUCAAUACGUACAUGCAUGUUAAUUCUUGUUCCUUUUUAUUACAAGAGCAAUGUUGCGUGUUAGCUUUGAUAAAUCUCAACCUUAACUUAAUCAUUCUUCCCUUCAGCUUCUUCAUCACUUGACCUGAUCUAACAUAUGAUUUAAUUAUAGUUCCAGAGAAAAACAUAGGCCAAAUCAAUGGGAAAUUCAGUAUUACUCGAUCAAUGUUGUUAUAGAUUAAGAUGAUGAUCUAGAAGUCGAUAGGAGCUUUCAUACAUGUAUAUGCGGAAUGUACGGAGGUUUAAUUUCGUUAUGGUAGGUGACCAAAUCACCAUGAAGAAGAAUUCACCAUGAAACUACCAUACCUCGAGAUCAAAGCGGCAAGUACUGUGAUGUGAUACCUAGCUAGUAAGUAAGAUAUUCGAUGAGACCAAUAAUACUUUCAAAUUAUUAAACCAAGCAAGAGAUUAGGAAGUUUUGGGUUCAAUUAAUAAUUAACAGUUCGUACAGGACCAUUUCUGGGAGGAAAAUGGUGGCUACAACCAAUGAAACCAAUGACAGAUGCCAUUUCUGGAGCCAAAUAUUAUUCUCAUCAAAGACUUUAAGAUGAAAGGUGUACGUCCUGUAUUGUUUAAUCUAGCAGUCAGCCAGUGAAGAAGAGGAAUCCCACUGUCAUGUCACAAAUUAGACCCUUCUUGGUUGUCCUUUCUCGCUCUCGACAUUAUUGCCUAGCUUUCCACUUAUAAAAUGAAGGAGCAAAAGAGUCAUGCACGUUGCUAAAAUAAUUUUCUUGAUUGAUUUCGAAAGAAGAAGAAGUUAAAAUUAAGGAAAGAUUUAUGAUGCAUUCGUAUACGCUUAUAUAUAUAAAUCAUGUAGUCUUUGGUUAAAUAUUUAAGUUUCGAGGUAAAAUACUGAUGCGGUUGUUUUCAAGUCUUCGUUAAUGAAAAAUUUAAUAUAUUAGUUUCGAGUAAAUAACUGAUACAUCAUGCCCUUAAAUCUUAUUAAUGAAAAAUUUGAUGCAUAAGUUGAAUUGAGUCCAAAAUUCUAUACCGUAUCAAGCUAUAGUUUCUCUUUACAUUGAACUAACUUAUAACAAUGUUGGUAUAUUUGGAAGAUCAAUAUGCAUGCCCAAUUUACUUUCUGAAGAUGAAUAAACAUAAAGAAAAAUGGACACCAAAAAAGAAAAUACUACAAGCUGACUUGACUAUCUAGGUAUGAACGGGUAAGAAGUCAAUGGUGUGCUUCUACAAAAUGUUUGUUGAAUUUUACAAAGUUUUGAUGUCUUUUCAUUUUUUAAGCUUUAUUUUAUUGUCGUAUACAUAUUUUCAUGGCCUCACACUUUCACCAAGUCUAUAAAGCUUUGUUAGGAACAAGAUGAUCCUAAAGUGUCUAUGAAAUUUACAAUAUUUAAGGUGAGUGUGAAAUAGAAGUACACUACUUUCUAUUGUAAAGAAGGAAAUGGUCUCCAUCAUCUUCCUGAUCGAUAGGCCAACUAAUACGGUUUUUGAAACUUCUCUUGUAAUUCGUAUGAGUGUACCUAGUUUGAAACAGUUUCUUAAGACUGCAUUCAAAGCCUUACAGCUCAAAAUCCACUUUCUUCUCCAGGCAUUUUCUAACUCAUAUCCUUUUGAUUACGUACAUCGACACUAGUGCGAAAACGAAACUAUUCUUCAUGUGAGCCAAACAUUUUAUAAAUUAGCUAGUGUAAACUUAGUAACAUUGCUUGCAAAUUACGUCAAGAUCAGUAUAACCAUGUUUACAGAAGAUAAUAAAAGGGUGACCAAGUAUAUGCUAUAAACCCGAAUUUGUGUUUCUUGAUAUAUACGAUUUUCUGUCGAUCUAGACCGUCGAAAAUCUUGUUUUUAUUUCGUUAUUAUUUGGCACUACAUAGUAGGCACUGGGCAGGGAAGACCUAGAAGACAUAAUUUUUGACAAACUAAUUCAAGAAAUGAUGGAACAUAAACGAGGGGCUGAUGUAUCCAUUACUGCUUUGAAGUUUUUGUCUGGCAGAUCAGAUUUUGCUUCCAUCGAAAGUGAUUGGAAGUUUCCCACCUGAAAAUUGCAGUAAGAACAAGACUGGGAUCAUCACAAGGUUCUAUCCAAUUUUCCUUCGUCUUCUUUGCUUCUAGAUAUAUUCUUCACUCUGUUUUUUUCUCUCUGUGUAGUCAACUGAAGUUUAACUGCAGUCCAGAUGGUCCAGACCAGACACCAUGCAGGCAUGUACUUCAAUAUGCCCGAUUUCAAAGUCUUCGAUUUGUUUAUAGUAAAUCCAUAUAUCUGGAAAUCUAAAAUGAAGACGACAAGUGUCUACUACGAAGAAAUCAAAUAAUGAUGUUGCGACUUGAUGAGAAAUUAAUAGGAGCAUCUAGAAACAUACUUGUAUGAAUAGAUCAAUCAUCUAGAUCGAACGCACUCUCCGAUUAAAUUAACCCAGCAAAUGGAAGGCCUGGAAAAGUAUAUUUCAACAAGUAAACUUUAGAUGUUUAACUUAUUCAGUUUUUUUAUAAGAAAAUUUCACUCCAUAAAACAAUACUAGGGUUCCAUAUUUUGAUAAAUGAAAAGCUUAAAAACGAAGAAUAAUCCUUGGUUUUUAGCGUAAUGCUAGCUCAAACUCUUUUAUGUGGCAUCUCGAUCAUUUCAUAUUAUUCUUACUGGACUAACCUCAACAGAAAUAUGCCAAUCUUAAGCUAACUUAUGAUGCUCGAGGCUCACAAAGCUUGAGAGGGUUUGCUUCAAUCACGAAAUAGCUCAAGCUUGAGGGCAACUAUUACAUCACUGACUAAGUCUGAGUGAGUGAGACAGAUGUCGACAUUCAUAUAUGCAUAAUGUGACCAAAGGUACUGGAAAGCAUUGCCAAAAUUGACUGCAACAUAAUCUUUCUAAGAAGAAAGCAAUCGAACCUUUUACUCUAUAAUGAGAGCUCAAUUUUCCUCUCCAGUUUUGCUUUGCUUUGCAUUAAAACAGAAGCAAGUCAGCAACGCGUUUCUCCUUGUUCCUGAUGCUUUUUCAAGUUCAGAACGCUCUUUGAUUGAAAAAGAAGGAAAGGAGGAUGAAGAAGGCCAUUGAAGCAUAGAUAAGACAAAGAUGGAGAUAUAAAAUUGGAACCAGAAAUUCAUAUUUUAACGAAUGCUUUAGUGUUAAUGGCGCCGCUUUCAUAUUAAUUAGCUUUGCCUGGAUUUUCUGGUGAUUGUGUUUCGGGGAGCAAAAUCUUCCAUUGCAUGAAAACGAAAGUUUGAGCUGUUGCCCAAAAAGAAUGCGACUCAAGAGUCCUGCGGAAACGACAAAGUAGCGAUGCAGUGAUGCACACAUAUCUCGUCCUGCAGAAACUUACUGUUAUGCAUGCUGUGAAAUCGAUUGUGUUUAACUUUUUGUGUAUUUGGGACAAGAUCACAUGUAUGUUGUGAGAGUCGAAGUAUGCAUAAGUUGGUUUGUGUUUUUGCGGAAAGAUUCACAUAUCACAUAUAAGUUGUGAGAGUGAGAUUAUGCAUACAUGAGUUCUUUCCAGAGAUAUGCCAAAAUAAUGUCUCACGAAUCCACCAAAAUGAGUGCACCGUAAAAGCUAAAAUUUUGGGCAACUAGUGAUGAAAACUAUGAAAUAUUGGCCGUCGAAAUCAUGGCUGGAUACAGAUUGUAUUAGAAAUUACAAAAGUUCAAUUAGUAGAAAAAUUGGUGAAAACUAAAAAUAGGGCGCUAAUGCAAAAACCAGUUUCAAGAUUAAAUAACUCUCUUGCUUUUCCAAUAAUUGUCCAGUGAGGUUAGGAAAUGGUAGAGAGAAAUAAGUUAAAAUUACAUCCAAUCUACUAAAAAUGUAAUAUUGGAUGAAAAUAAAUAAAUAAGUAAUUGUAAUACCAUGGAAAUAUUCAUAUCUUUCUUGCACACUCAGAAAUGUUCAAUUAAUGAUAUUAAUUAACUCACUAUUAUCCCAUUCAUUUUAGCAUAGUCAAAUCACAUUAACAUAUGAUACAACUACCCAACACUAGUUUUACUUGCGCAGGCAGGCACACUCUAAACGUGGCCGUAUGUAUAUAGAUGGAAUCUAAAUCUACUAUGAAAGAUAACAAGGAACUUCGAUAGCACCUGAAUAACUUUAUCGAAAAGUUACACCAAUUCAAUAACUAUCUACAAACACAAAAUUCGAAUGCAAAAUAGGAAAACAAUUUGUAACUACCGUGAAAUCAAAUGGAUAAUGGGUUGUAACCCCGGAAAUGGAGUGCAAACUAGAAAUAUCAAUUCAGUAUGCUUUUGCUGGGUUUAGCUCAACAGUCCAAUCCAUCUUGUCCUCUAUAAGCCCCAUCUGUAAUCUGGUAAGAACAGAAUAGAGCUUCUGUGACACAGCACCAAAGCCACUCUCUCCAUAUGACACCCUGUGACCAGGAAAAAGAUGCGAUUAAGAUCGCUUUCUCAAAGACAAGUUAAAUUUGAGUAUACUGGCUUUUCACUUCAGUAUGCUUUUGCUUGCUUUAGCUUAACAGUCCACUCCAUUUAAUCCUUCUAUAAAACCUUUUUUUCCCAGUUGAGGAAACUUUCAUUGUGUUGAUGCACAAAGAAAAACUCACUUUCACAGAUUCACACUACUAAACAUAAAAGAUUACCUUUUAUCCAUAUAAGUAAUGCUGCCCACAGGUGACACGACAACAGCGGUUCCGGUACAAAAGACUUCAUCAGCUUCAAGUAAUUCAUCUACAUCCACAGCGCGCUCCUCAACCUGCAUAUCAUUAUAUUGUAUUAAAAAAAUUAUUUAAGCUACUGCAAAAAGAAGUGGUACUGCAUUUGCAUAACAAAGGACUAAUGCAACCAUCUUUCGACACAUCUAGAAACUCAAAAGAAUAAAUAAGUAUGAAACACAUACAACCCACACCACACACCCGUUGUCCCAAUCAUCAAAUAAAAGUACCUGGAAUCCUUGGCUACGGGCAACAUCAAUAAUACUCUUUCGAGUAAUGCCAGGUAAGAUCGUCCCUUUUAUUGCAGGAGUAGAGAUAACAUCACCCUGGAAACACAUAACAAUGGACAUAAAUUAGCUAUGAUCACCUCUAACGAUAACACAUUGCAAUCAAAAUUUCCAGCCCCCACGCCAACAGUCCGACUCCAAUAAACCAUACUGUAUUGAGCACAAACAACAAUAACAGUAAUCAUCAAACCCACACACUAAAGUGAAAUUAUUACCUUCACAACAAAUAUGUUGCAUGAGGAAACCUCCUCUAAAUAUUUUUUGUGAACGCAGUCAAGGUACAGAACAUCCGAGUAGCCUUUCGCUUUUGCAGCACACUGUGCCUUCAAAACCUACGAAUAGAUCAACAGAUAAAGAUCAACUCAUCAGCGCCAGCAUACGAUAAUCAAGAAAAAUUAAAAUGACCCAUAGAAAGAUGAUUUCUCAUAAGAAAAGAGCGUAGAUAACUAGUUGGAAUGAGGCUUUGAUCGGUCAUUGACUUUGGUACAAACGAUGAUGCUAGAGAAAGAUAGUCUCUUUCAAGAAGCCCAUCAAAGGAAACCCUCAUACUUAAAGAGACAGCAUUAAAUCAUAUUUGAUCAUUGUGUGAUAUUAAAUCUAUUAAAACGAAAUAAACAAAUUCUGCCUCUAGUAGGUAAAAUUACAGUGGUUUAUACAAAUUAUAACCAUAUGCAGCAGGAAAAGUAAAAAUUAUAACAUAACAGUUACACGACCUCAAGUCAACAAAUUAUACCUGCAACAAAUUCUGGGUAGCAGACAAACAAUUUACAAUAAGAAAUUGGAAUCUAUCGAGACAAAUAAGAAUUAAACAAUUUACAAAUACAAAAGCUUACCGCGGCAUAAUUCCCUAUAGUUUUGACACCUCCAGUACCACCAGGAGUUGCACGAUGCAAUUCAUGCUCGACAAUCAAGUUUAUAGGUGCGACGCCUUCCUGCCACCAUAUGUAUAGAUAUAAGAUACUGAAUGAUCAAAGGUGAGAAUAGCACUUAAGCUAUCAAAAAACAUGGGGUGCACCAAAUCCAAGUGACCAUAAUUUAAUAAAACAAACGGAUUCGUAAGAACAUUGAAGUUAAUAAUAAAUAGAUAAAGCCAUAUACCAUUUUAAACAUUUAGAUUUGUUGCCACUUGCCAGACAUCCAAGCACCAAAAAGAACGGUGGAAUGUCCAACUUAGUGUUCAAGGACAUCCAUAUGGCUCAGAGAAUUACUCAAAAAUAAAAAUGCAUCAAGCUUAAAGUUGAUUCCAAGAAAUUUAGCCAAUAAGUGAUGUUAGGAGCCAGAGAACAUAUGGAGAAAAAAAAAGGCUUAUAGUUUAAGUGUAGGGCUUAGCCUGUGAAAAGACAAAGAAGAAAUAAAAACCAAGAGCACCAUGCAAACCAAGGGUAGUGACAUGGAAUUUGAAAAAGAAAUACACACUUGGUAGGACAACUUAGCAAUUUCCAAUAAUUAACAAACCUUAAAGUAAUUUCCAACUGGUGAAACAUAGAUCAGAAAUGUGUAUUCAGGAGCAGGAGCAAGACCAAGAACAGCACCACUUCCCAUUAGCAAUGGCCUGAUAUAUAGAGAACCUUUGCCUGGAGGGGGAACCUGAAACGAGAUAUUGGCAUAUAAGUAUAUUACAUAUACAAAUAUUCAGAAAAACUUUAUCAAGCAGCAUCAUGGUUAUACAUCAUACCCAACGUUUAUUUGCCAAAACAGUGGCCUUCACAGCUUCCACAAAUUGUUCAACAGUCGGUGAGGGCAUGCACAUCCGCUCAGCACCCAACCUCAUCCGCGAUGCAUUUUCUUCGGGUCGAAACAAGAGUAUCUUACCAUCUUGUUUCCUGUAGGCUUUCAUACCUUCAAACAAACCCUACAUAGUUGAACAAGAGCAAGAGAAUAGGGAUCAGCCUCUUCAUUGACUUAAUUCCAAUAUGUUGUUUCCAAACUUAUUGUUGGAGUUUGACUUUAUUUCUCAUCUAGUAGUCCAGUAGGGUAGUAUGAAGAUGGUUAAAAAUAACAAACAGGAGAAAAUAGAGGCCCAAUUACAGAUGAAAUCCCAAUUAGUUUCUUCCAUAUGGGAAUCAAAGAGGAAAAACAGAACACAGAAUAUACUCAUAUAUGCUUCCUGAAUCUAACAAACACAGCCCGAGAGGAAAAGCAGAACUACAAAUUCCAUGAGAAUAUAAACUCUACCACUCAUAAAGUUUGCAUCUCUAGUAUUCCAAAACAGAAUCCGAAAAGAUAUCAUAACUUUCACACAACAAAACAGAACACCAGUAUAAAAGUUUACACAUCCAACCUGGCCAUAAUUCAAGACUCCAGCCGAAGGGUUCAACUCAAUGUUCCCAAAACGCUGCAAUUCACCAUCAGAGAAGCUCCCGCCUUGAGCACACUUCAUGACAUACAUAUAAUCGGUAGGAAGAAACCCAAAGCCAAGAUUGUCCCAUUCUAUGUCAGCUGUUUCACUUGUUUCAGUGCUGUGUCCAACAAAGCCAAGUCAAUACACAACAACAAAUCACAUAAAAAUCUAACAACUUCAACACCAAUCAAACCAAACCAAACAAUAUAACAUUCAUUCACUACAAUAACUAAAAUAACCAACUAAUCCAAAGUUUGAUCCAAACACAAAAGAAAAAUAAAAUAAAAACUAAACCCAAUACAAAAAGAAGAGGGAUUUUACCGGAGAGUAUCAGACAAUGUGGCACAUCGGCGAAUAGGGGAGGGAGGAACCGGUUGGUAACAAGCCAAAGGGAGCUGCUUUUGUAGCUGCAACAAAAAACCAAUAAUCAACAUUCAGAUAAUUUACAUUAAAAAUCCAACCUUUUCUAAUGGGUAGAGAGAGAAAGAGUGUAUAUACCUUGAGAGAGGGAGAGAGAGAGGAAUAGUAGGCGGAGAAGGGGCGGAGGAGGGAGGAGGAGGAAGAAGGAUUGCGGGAAGGGGUAAGAAGGUAAUUUGGCUGAAGGCUCCCAAGGACGGCGCUGGCGCUCUCCAUCUCAAAAUGUCAAACUGAAACCCAACUCAACUUCUGAAGACUACUGUUUCCAGAACUCACCCUUAAACUAAAACCCUUUUGUCUCUCACUGUUGUGGUGGCUUUGUGUAGCAGAGAGAGAGAGAGAGGGUGUUUGGCUGAGUCAGCGUGAGGGUUUUUCUAGUUUGAAUUAUCUGAUAAAUAAAGAAAAUUUGGUAAAAAAUUAUGAAUAUUAGUCAGGAUUGAGGUGAUUGUGGGAAGGAGACAAUUACAUACAUCUACAAUUUGAAUCUUUGAUCCUGUCACUUGUGUUACGUCUAUAGAUAUGAGAUGGCAGCAAAUUUAUAUCAUUCGUCCAAUUUUUCUUCUCUUAUUAUAGCAUUACAUGUGAUUUGUCUAAUUUGUUAUAGAGUCGUAUUUGCUUUUCUACUAUUCUCCAAAUCCUUUUAUGUUUCUUCUUUGAAAAAGUCUAUUUUCAGUACAAAGAUUCCAAACAUAUGGUUUGUUACAUUUGAUGAGGAGUUUGACUUGUGGAUGCAGGGUUUGUUUGAGAUUUUCCCCUUUUUUUGGAUGCUUUUGUACGUAAUGUAUUUUUACAAUUCAAAAUUUUCUAUAUCGUAUUUUGUAAUGUAGUUUAUGAUCGAAUUUAUUCAUUAGGAUGGUUCUAAUAAGGACCACUAAGUUAAGGACUUUUUCGUUUUACCCCGUUUUCGAUCACAUAUUUACAUCUCGACCGUCUAGUUUGUAAAUAUAUAUCUCUACAAAUUUUCAUCAAAAUUGAAAAUCGUUAAGGCAUUCAUAAAUGUGAUUUACCGAUUAUAAACUUAAAUGACUCAUGUUUGACAAAUUUGGAUCGUCCAUUGAUUUGAUUUAGUUCGAUUCAUUAACAAUCACCAAUUCAACUGAAAAUUUGUAGAAAUUAUCUACUUAUAUAGAAUUAGAGACUAAACGGUUAAGAUGGAAAAAUAUGAUUGAAAAGUAAGUGUAAUAAACCAUUAAUAGAAAAAUUCUCAAUUAGUGCUCAACUAAAUAGUUCUCAUUAGAAACUCUCCCUCAAUUCUUACCAAAAGUUUCACAAGUACUUCUCUAGAUCGAAGAUAGUUGAAUAUACAAUAUCAGAUUAUGAUAAAAUAAUAAUAAUAAUAAUUCAAUCACAGUAACUAUAUGAUCUCUUCUCAUAUUAACUAUUCGAUUCUACAUAACUAAGGUGAUCAUCAAACCCGCACUAGAAAAUAAACAAUUCUAACCAGUAACCAGAAUUCAUAAACAAUGAGUCUAGACGAACUCAAACUAAUUUAUCUUUCAAAUGAUAAUCUAAGAUGAUCCAGCCCAGCUCUGAUUAUAAAUAACUUAGGAAUAUGUUAUGUAGCUCGAAAUUGUGGUUAUAUAUAAUUAAGGUUUUUUUAUUGUAAUGAAUUCAUAAUUUUACUUUGUUUCCUAUUAGGAUUCUGUUUGAUCGAGGUAUAUAGAUCUGUUCAUGUUUGUUCGUAUAAAAGAAAGUUUAUACACAAAUCAUCCAGCUGACUUACACAACAUAACCAUGGAUAUUUAUGAAACUAUCACCAAGAACCUCGACAAGGAUGUAGAAGAUCUGGAGCAACUGAGGGCAACACCACUAAUCUCCGAUUGUAAUAUCUGGGAUCAAGAAAUACAUCUCCUUAAAGAUAAGCGAGACGUUAUGAACUCGGUCAAGAACAUCCUCCACGAAGUGGAACAACUUGAUGAGGCCAUGAGAGGACGUAUUCUCAUGAAGGGGUAAGGAGUUCAUACAGUAGACCUAUGCUUCUCUUUUAUUUGACGAGCAAUUUAGGCUUACUUUAAUUUUUUCUUUGCACUACUGCAUAUCAGAUAUUAAUGAGAUUCGCCAAUUUCACGUGGAGAAUCAAGUGCGCUUGAUCAAGACAAUUGGUGAGGUGGAGAAGCAACUUAAGGCUUUUGAUCCCAAUGAUGAGUUUAACAUCUUACAGUCGGAUUCAGCAAGGCAACAACUUGAGUUGGGUUUCUGGGGAAAAGCCAUCGCUUGGUGCUUGUGUACGUUCAGCUGAAGUAUGGAUGUUUUUGUUUUCUAAGUUGGUUAGUUUUUAUAGUUGAAAUCAUUACGAAUUGUUAUUUAAUUUAUAUAGAUUUCAGCAGGUUUGUUUUGCUAAUAUAUGAUCUGAGUCAAGGUCUUGCUACAAAACUUUUCUCACCAAUUAGUUAUGAAUAAAGACGAAGAUGUAAUACUCUUUUUUGUGUAACCGAAGUUGUAAUACUUAGACACAAGUGCGAGAUAACUGAACUUUACCCUCUGCAAGAAUAAAGAUGUCGCCGGAUCUCAAAUAAGCAAACAACCCAUGAGCAUUCGCAGAGACAAGAUAAAGUGAUAAACCAUAAUACAAAAUAUGCCAACACACCACUCCACUGGGUUUGCCCUAAAAGAAACCCUUUUUAAAUGUCAUACUCGAUGAACCAAACAAACACAAAUUCCUCCUAAAUCACUACUUUAAGCUAAGUCAAUUACAUAACUAACCAAUCCAGCAUACAGGCCAUGCAAACGGAGCCUCUACCAAUGUUGAGAACUGUUGCUGAGUAAUGCACCUGAAGAUAUAGAUCUCGUUAGUGAGCUUAACUUUGAAUCUAGAAGAAUGUACCUUGGACAAAGAUAAAAGUGAUAAUAACCUGGAAAUCUAUACGAAGAUCAAGCAAACAAACACCAAGUACCAUAUUAACAGUGAAAUGAGUAAUAUACUCACAUCUGACAAUGCCUGCUUGCCAACUGAUCUUUUCAUAUCUAAGCUUCUGUACAUAUGUUGGAUAUCAUCUCACACGGCCUGCAAGUGCUUUUUAGAUAUAUCUUUCUCUUGGAGCUGCAUAUGAAUCCUUGGUUUAGAUACUCGGCCAUAAUAGACAUGACGAGAAGAAAAGCAGUAAUGAAGCAGCAUUUUAAUUUCUCAAUUAGAAAAGGCAUGCAACAAAGUAACAAAACAUGUUCAAAAACAGAUGUUGUAAUCACAACAAAGAUGUUCCGCAUAAAUCAAGGAUAUCUCCUCAAACAGGACAUGAAAUCAAGUUGAUCAGCAUAUUGCCAAAAAAUAAUAAAGGGGUAAGAGAUGUCAAGAAUAUCAUGAAUUUGAUUCCAGUAGGCUAUUUCAGAGGGCUGAGACACCAUUCAUGACUGGAAUAUGUGAUCAUAGAUAAAGGUAGUACAAAUUUAAACAUAAUAAUGGCACACGCAGAUGGAGGAAACAAUUCCAGCUAUGAGAAUAUUCAAACAAAAUGGAAAUCCGAAAUAGAAAAAUAAAAAACUCCUUGAACAACAAAGCAAGGGAACCCAUAUCAACAGCAAUAAUUAACAGAAAACGAAGGCACAAAAACUAUAAAGAUAGAACAGCAAGCAUCCUGGAAUAAAUUGUAUAAUUCAGAGGAUCAUAUCUACACGCAAAAAAUUUAAGGCAGGUGCAAGAUUACCUGAUGAUCGUUAUUAACUAGUCCAACAUUCCCCAAGUCUAACUCUUGCAUCUUUUGCUGAGCCUUGGGGUCAGAGGUUAAGACACCAUUCGAUUCAUGUUGUGGUUCCCCAACAGAAUUCUGUGUGGCUAUAUUGUCCUCGUUGGCAAAACUUCCCUCGUUGGUAAAACUUUGUGUCUCAGUUCUUUCGCAAAUCACUUCCGAAACUUUUAUGACUUUAUCUACAACUAAAACACUGUCCUCUAAAGCACCUUCAUAAAUUUGAUCAGAUGACAAUGAUACAAGAUGCUGCUCUACAACUUUCGUCUGGGUUGACUCGAUGCUGAAACAAAAUACAUAAUUGCACAGUUGAAAAUCGGUCAAAAAAUUCGAGUGAAUGCAAUUGACUAUCACUACGAUAUCAACACUAGCAAAAGUUUGAGUUUCAAGUUUCAAGAUAACAAGAGUUUUUACCAGGGGGUAAUGGCAUGUUCUGAUGAGUCCACAGUGCCAACAUCUUGCCUCCUUUUCUUAAUAUUCUGGCUAGUCUCAAGUAGUGGAUCAAAACAGUCAUCGGAAUAAGACUUUUCAACUCUUCUUUUCCUUCCUCCUGGAACAACCUUAUCAGACAUUAAGGAGGCACGCCUUUCACCAGCAGAUUCAGAAUCAUGGGUUGAUUCAUGCUCAGAAUCAUUUGUUGCUUUUACAUUCUCACCAACAGGCACUUCAACUAUCACCUUUGGUUCGCCAAAAGCAUUCGGCCUCUUGCUAAAACCUCUCGAUGAAUGACCAUUUCCCAAGUACCUACUAUGCCCAUUAGAUUUACUUGAUCUCUUCAUCUGUUCAGUUACCUUCAAGCCUGUUUCUCUUUGAGAGAUCACAGGACUUUCUUCAUACUUCAAUUGUUGCUUCUCAGGAGACUGUUUGAAAACCAAUUCAGUGCAGCGUUUUAACCAAGUGAAACGAGCAGAACUGGGAGGAGAAAACACUGCCUUCAGCACAGAUGGGUUGCUAGAGUUGGCGACAUUUAAUUUACCAUGUGAAUUAGGAUCAUCAUUUACUGAUGUUGCCUGCUUCAAAUAUCUUGUAGAAGUUUCUGGGUCGCCAGGCAUGGAAUCAGAUCGUUGCACCUCAGCAUCUAAUGCAACUUUCAAACUCUCCAAUUCCUUCAACUGUUCAAUUUGACGAUGAAUCUCUUCACUAUCUGUAUGCAAUAAUUCCCGCUGCUUCUUCAGCUUCUCCCUCUGAAUCUUUAGUUCCUCAAUCGAAUUAGUCAGCUCAGCCCAUUCUUGAUUCCUUCGCUCACGAUCUACAUUUAUCUCCACUCUCUCAGUUUCAAGUCUUUUCCUUUCUGAAGCAACCUCUUCCAUCUCUUUUGCAGCUUUUUCAUUGAGAGACCUAAUAUACUCGAGUUGAUUCUUCUUUUCUUGCUCAAACACCACCUCUUUUUCUUUCAAAGAACAUUCCAACUCCUCAUGUUUUUUGUCAAUACAGUCCUCCAAUUCCCUCCUCCUCGUAUCAAUUUCCAGCAAGAAAUCAGCACGUUCUUGCUGUAGCUUGCUGAAUAACUCAGACCGCUCACGGGCCAUGUUAUUCAUGAAGUCUUGCCGCUCAACAACAAGUGAUUCAGCAUCACGCUUGUACUGAUCUCGCAUUUCAUCCUUCUCCUGUUUUAGGUUAUCAUGCUCUUCUUUGAUAAACUUGGAGAAUGCUAACCUUUCCUCUGCUAAACACUCUGCUUCCUUCCGCAGCAUUUCCCUCUUGUCAUCAAGUGAUUCCCACUCAGAUUCAAACUUGGCCUUCUCUGCAGCCAAUUUUUCUGCCUCAGCCAUCAGCUCUUGCUUUUGAGACCUGACCAAAUCUACCUCUUCCUUGAGUUUCAUCUCUAGAUCUGAAAGCUCACUUGUUUCAGUUUUCAAAACCUCAAACUCCUGCCUGGAAAAUUCAAGUUGUUUCUUUUUCUCUUCAAGCGAAUCUAGGGAAUGUUGCAGCUCUAGCUUCAGUUUGAUAUUUUCUUCUUUUUCUUUUUGCAAAAGAAGAUUAUUCUGCUCAAGCUCCUUCUCGGCAGCUCUCAAACUAUUUUCUUUCUCAUCAACAAGAUUUGACCUCUCUGACACCUCUUUUUCCCUCUCCACCAAUGACCUCAACUGAACUUCCAAGUCAUAUUCCUUUUCCUGCAAUAGAUCCUCUCGUUGAUUGAGAUCCACCUCCCUUAACUCCCAAGCUCGUCUCUUGGUUUCAAUUUCAGCUUCAAUCAGCUUGCGCUUCACCUCCAACUCUGCCUCAAAUUCAGACUUCUUCUUUUUCAAAUCAACUUCGUGAAUGGCAACAGCUUUCUUAAUCUCAUCCUGGAUACAUCCCAAUAAAUGAAUAACAAGGAUGAGAAAGAAUUGAACAAUACUUGUUGCAGAUGAACAGAAGUAGAUGAAAAUAAAUCAAAAGAGCUAAAGCUAAUGUUUAGUGCUAACAAAAUUAAAUAUACUCACUGAUUCUUUGCUGGCCAGUUUUUCCUGAAACACAAGAAGCUCUUGUUCUUUUUUAUUCAGCAAAGCCUCUCUUCUAUUUAAAGCCUGCAAACACACAAUUACCAAAACACAUUAGUAAAGCCUUCAACAAGCCAUAUAAGAAGCAUCCAGAUGUUAAAAAGGUGUUAAAUAUGAACCUCCUCUCUAUUAGCCAGAGAAGUCUCAGUCAGCUCCACUUUAAAUUUGUGAUCAUUUAGGGCCUUACGCUCCUCGCCAAUAUUAAGUUUUAGGUCUUCCAACUCUUUUUCAAGUCGAUCCAGUUCCUGAGAUCGACCAAAUAUAAUAUCCUCCCUUUGGUUAAGCAGGGCUUGUGCAUCGAGUAAUCUAUCCUGUUCUUGCUGGAGGGAUUUCUGCCUUUCACUCAAAGAUUUCCUCUCAAGGCUUAUCUCCUUCUCUUUCUCCUCACAACUACAAUAUAAAAGGAUGAGCAACAAAAUCAGCAAACUUUGCAUCAGCUUUGGGCAAUUAUAAGCCAAUGAAUUACAUUUCAUGUCUAGAAACACACUAUUGGACCCUUCUUUGGAAAAAGGUCAAAGAAGGAUCUGUUGUAGGAAUAUAUGCAACAAGAGCCCUGGUACCACUGCCAUGGCUUAUAGUCAGAACUCAAGACUACGCCAUACAACAAGAGAUCAAGGGGUGAAGUGCUUUCAAUGGGAUUUUCAUUUUCCUCUUACCAAUAGCUUAGGUGAACCUGAGAUUAGGUACGAAUGGAAAGAAAACAAAACGUGAAGAAAAGUAACUAGAAUGCGUACUCAGUCUUGAAUGAUAGAAUGUUCCUCCUAAGAUCAUCUUCACGAGCUUCAACUUCUACCAUCUUUCUUUCAGCAACACGGUGAUAACGAGAAGCUUCUGCUUGCAAAGAUUCUGCAAGGAGUAGCUUUCCCUCAGCUUCAGUGAAUUUCUUCUGAGCAUCCUCCAACAUAUUACGUGCUUCAACCAACUUACUCUCAGCUGCAACCUUUGUUUCAGCAGAUUCUGCACGCAUCUCAUGCAUCGACUUCUCAAUCUGCACAAAAAAGAAACAAAUAUUUAUAUGAUGACAUAUAAGGAUAUGGGUGUUUACAUGAAAGAGAUUCAAUUGAUCAUCUUACACUUGCUAUGCACUCUUCCUUGACUCCUACUGCCUUCUUUAGUCUCUCUUCCCGCUUCCUUGCUUCAGCCAAAGCAGAUGCAUGUGCAGCUUGUUCACGGUUAUACCUAAGUUCAGCGGUCUCAGAAGAGGCUUUAAGUUUCUCAUACUCAGCAUUCAACCUCUUCUUUUCCAAUAUGAGAAGACCCAUGUGGUGCUGGUGGUCGAAAAUCUAAAUCAAGCGAAACCGGUUAGCAAAGUAAUAGAACACCUUCACAGAAAAUUAUAAAUUGCAUAUUACAGUUCGUUAGUCUAACAAACGACACUUUAGCCAUACGAGCAUUAAGACGAUCAUCAAUAUUGGGGAUAAAUUACACAACGGAAAGGAAACAGACCAAAAGAUAAGAGAAUAUACACAUGGUUGCAGUUUUGUCGAUGACAUAUUAGCAUGUAGAUUCAAAGAAACUGAAAUUCUCUCCACGCUAGCUGUGAUAGCUUUUAUAAAACAAGAUGAAACUUAUAACGAUGGAACCCAUGCUCUUAUGCUGUUUCUUAUUCAGGAUAAAACAAAACUCAUUUAGUAUCAAACAAAACUCAUUCCUCAUUCCGUAUCAAACAAAACUUGAUACACACAUGUAAGUGAAUAUCCAAGCCACACACUUAUGCCCUUUCUCAUUUCGGAACAAUUUACAUAGUAAAAAACGAUUUCUAAACUAUUUCAUGCCUCUUUCUCCAAAACCCCAAACUAAAACCCCGCCUAUCAGAUAACCAAGCACAACGAGAAAUUCACAUAUCAAUAUUCUUUACAGCACAACUCAUUGAUUUCGAAAGCUCAAAAUUCAAAUUGCACUGCUUUUCACAUCCUCCAAUAAAUUAAAUUACAACUCCAAACACAAUCCAGAAUACCUAAAAGUAAAAAAUAAAAAUAAAAAAAGUAAAAUUCAAAAUUUACAGAGGGAGAGAGGAGCUCUACCUCAGCUUCAAGCUUAGAAAUAUAAGCAAUGAGCGCAGCCUUAUCUCUGCGCUUAAUCGACUCCUCAUCAAACCCAGCCUCUCUCAGCCGCUUCCAGAUCGCUUCGUCACUCACCGGGCUCUGCAAUACUCUCGCCCCCGGCGUUAUCGACAAGGCUCUACCGGAGCCCGGCGUCGUCGUCCUCGCCGACCGCGGACUCGCCAUUCCGACUUCGGCGGAUCACAAGCCCUAGAUUCCUUUCUCCUUCUUCUUCUUCGCCUUUACCAAAUUUCCAGUAGUACUGAUCUAUAAUAAUACUCUCUUGCUCUUUCUUUCUCUCUCUUUAUAUUUCUUUCUGGCUUUUUCGGUCUUUGCUUUUGGCUUCUUGGAGUCGUCUUUGGCUCUACUCGGUUGGACUCGGUUGGGUGAGAUUGGUGCUAUUCAAAAGGGAACGGGGACUAGACGACGUCGUUCAGGUGGGAUUCGGGUGGUAAUUUUGUUUUUGAUUCUUUUAAAAGGCCGCCUUUUAAUUAGCGGCGUAGAAUUGGCGAGAUUGUGACUUCAGUAGCGGAUCCCACUCUCCUUUGUAGCCAGCACGACGGCACGUCGUUUAUGUCCAGCUACAAGUGGCAAAAUGCCCCGUUCCGUGGGGAUUUGGGUCGGGUUUUGGGCCGGCCCAAUUAAUGAGCUACGACAUCAUUCCGAUUGCUACACUGCAGCGCCUGCUUCCUCAGGUGGAAGUCCGGUUGAGCAGUUACUCGAAACGCUGACAUGUGCCAUGGCUCGAAUCAGUAGUCAAUCCUAUUUCCGAUAGGAAUGCAACGCCGACGAUCAAUCCUAAUUCUGUUAAGAGGAGAGAUUGAUAAAUAUAUUUCUCUAUAUUUUGUUCUAAUUUCUAUACGAAACAACUGUAUUACUAUCUCUGUUCAAGUCUGCUGUGCUCUAUAUUCCGCAAUUUCUUCCUUGAAUACGACACAACAGUAGGUUUGAUCUGAAUUUACAAGACUAACUUUAUUGGCAUGAAAGUAAUAUCUACAUUUGUCCUGCUUCAUGUUUGACGCACAAGGACUGAGGUUCCUUUUGGUGCAAGAAAAACAUAUAAAAAGAUUACUUGGAAUUUACAUUUUGUAGAACUACAUGUCAAAAGCUGCUUUCUUUUCUUGAUAGAAUUCAUCUAACCACCCUUGUAUUAGCUUAAUCUCACUUUCCCUUUGCUCCACCAACCAAUCAGGAUCCCCUUUAGUUGAAAAUCGCAAGUCUAUGUGAUGGGCACCUGAUAACAACAAGCAUGAGCAAUGAACAAGUUUCAGCAGGAAAAAUACUAGUCAAGGUGUAGAUAGGUGCUCUAAGCUGCUAAUGGCUAGAAGAAGUGUCAAUAGUAGAUGCUACCUUCUUCUGUAACAAGUGCAACGAUUGAUUGAGAUAUAUUCUGGAGAACACUGCAAUUGAUAUUAUUCACAGCCACUAGGAGUCAGAUUAUGAACAUUGACUACACUUGGUGAACCUUAUAAAGUGAUACGUAAAAUAGUUACCUGCCACCACUCCAUGGAUCCAAUAAGCCAUUGGAGAAGAUGAUGUUACUUCCAAAGUUUUUCAAAGUGGCCUUAAUAUCCUUCAAGUGUAACAGACAAUAAGACCCAGUUACGAUCAAAUCAAGUUGAAGAGCUAAUCUCAGCAGUAUAGAACAGGGGAAAUAGUUACAUGUACAGGAACAACCCAUACUAUUCAGACAGCAGAUAAGCACUUUCGCAAAGAUAAGAUUAAAGACUAGCUCUAAGCCUCUAAAGGUAAAUUCCAGGAAAUUGAAGCAACUACCAUUCUACCAAGUGUUAACUGUGAUUUCUAUAGUCAAUAAUUUAGAACUGUAAUUAAUGUGAAAAUAACUUGUUUAAAACAAUAACGCAGGUUGUAAACUAAUGCUUCCUCCCGUACAGUAAGUGACAACUUAUCAAUCAAAGUUACUACAAUAUGUUGAUUAAAGAUUCAAAAUAUAUUUGCAAGACCAGUACAUAACAAAACUCAAAAAUUUAUUAUGAAAAGAAAAAUUAGCCUUCACGGCUCCUUGUAUUUCACAGACAUCCAAUUUCAAUAUAUGAGGUACCAAGAUAAUUAGAUGAGGGGUAACAUAUGUAAGACAUAUACCAAACACUGAGGGAGAGAGAGACAUGCAAGAUCAUGCAGCACUGAACUAGUAUAGCAUAGAUGCUGAGUAUUCAUUAUUGGAAUCGUAACAAUAGGAAUGCACUAUCUAGUAGAAAUUACUGCAUCAUUUUCUUACAUGUCCACCAAACUCUGUUGUUAUCCAUGUAGGCCUUGGUUUUGCAUUGAGCUCCUUCCAGCACCAAUCUUGGAAAGAGGAGAAAUUAUAAUCAUAUGUUUUAAACAUGCUUCUAUCCCGGCUACUAGACAUUGGCAUAACCAUUUCUGUGCAAGCCUGUAGGAAGAAAGAAACGAAUGAUAGAAGUAAAUGCAUUAUAUUUGUAAGGGCAAUUAAGAUCUUGUAUAGGGUAAAAUUUUAGUUAUAUAGACUGUUAUUGUUUUGAGAAGAUGAUAUACUACAGUAAUGCAAAUAGACCUGCCAAUUCCAACCAUCUGUGCCAACAUCAGAAGUAUCUUCCAGCUCAAAGCAGUCCGCAUUUCCACUGUAAUUGUAGUAUACACUUAUGCCUUCAAAUACACGCUCCAAAGUGCUAGUCCCAUCAGGACAACCAUCGAUCCUUCUACAAACCUACCACAAGAGUAAAGUAACUACUUUGAUUUGCAACAGAAGUACAAAAUUUUAACAGCUACUAGACUGAGAAUCCAGAUACACGUGAGAAACACAGCCGCAAAAUGGAAGAGUAAAGAGAAACAAGAGCUCAUAAGGUUAUUAGACACUUGCUAGACCAACAAACCUCUCUUAUUGGGUGUCCGGGCAAAGGCAUCAUAAACUCCGACCCAUAUGGGUAGUUCACCAUUGCCAGAUAACUAUAGGCAGACUCCAACCAAUCUGCAAGAUCUUCUGUCUUCUUUAAUUCUCUGUCAAAUGGCUUCACAAUCAGCUGAAGCCAGUGGCUAAUGAAGAAGAAUUGAAAUACAAACAAGGCCAUGUCAAAAGCUAAUGCAUCAUAUGGUAUAUUUUUCUUACCUACAUAAAUGGAAUGUUUUUGUCAACUCGAGCAAGCCAUUUUGUUUCUGACCUAUGGUCAUUAAUGCAUCCCACGACUCCUUGAUAGUGUUAAAGCAGCUGCUACUUUCGCGCUGCAGAUACCAAUUGCAGUUAACAACAUCAUCUCAUAAUUCCUAAAACAAGGCAGUGAAAACACACUUAACAUACCCUGAAAUCAUUGGAAACAAUGUCGUAAAACGUCUCUGUCGGCACAAUAUCUUCAAACUGAAGAAUUGGCGCCGAAGAAGCAAGCGCACCGAUCGCAAUGUGGGGAUACUUGAGCCUCAUCCAUGCUGCCAACACUGUUUCCGAAAAUCAAACCGGAUCAUUAAACGUUCAAUGCAAUACAACAAUCAAACACAACAUCAAUUAGAGCAUCAACAAAUGUACAUACUUCCGCCGUAAGAACCACCGAAGAGCACCACAGGGCAGCCCUCCGCCGACCAAUUCCGCUUAAGCUCCGUGAUCAACACAGCAAAGUCGGCCAGCGCUUGCUCCGCCGUAAGAAACGACAGCGUACUGGCAUUCUUGUACGCCUCUUCUUCACUCCCAAACGGCAUCGACUCUCCAUAGUAACGAUGCUGCCAUUUUCAACAAUCAAAUCAAUUAGUCUCACAUUUUCUUUAUUUCUUAAUUUUCUCGACAAAAAAAUGAAACAGAAGCUUACUUCGGGAAAUAGAACCAUGGCGCCAAAACGAGGCGCGAGCUCCCAGACGAAGCCGGUGUUCUCGGCGAACCAUACGAUGUCGCCUUCAUUGCCGCAGUAAAGAAAGAUCGGGCCGUGGCGUUGUGGGCCGACCCAGUUCUCGGAGUUGACGAGGUAGCGCUGCUGGAAUUUCGGGGUGUCGGAGAAGCUGAAGUGGUCGAGGUUCUGCGGGAAGUAGCGGGUUUCGUAUUGGAUUGGUUUUGAGUGCUGGUGACGUCGUUCCGAAUUGGGCGGUGAAGAACGCGAUAACUUUCCGAGGAAGCGUGGGAGAGGUUUGGAUUGGAGUGAUGGUAGAGAUGAAGUGACGAUGAUGAAGAUGAUGAGAUUGAUAAGAGAAAGACUGGGUUUCGCCAUGUUUGAGGUUUGAGAAAGUGAAUUGCAGAAGUCAGCAGGUGAGUAGAGUUUUUUUUUUUAAUGAGUGCGAGAGUAUUGUUUUAACUGUGACAUAAUUGUCAAUUUGUUACUAAUUUACUACCGUAACAUUUUUUUUCUGACAAUUUGGUACCUAACUUUCUUAAAUUAACCAAUUUACUACCUAUAUUUUAUUUUAGUCAUUUUGUUACCCUUACGUCAAAUUUAUAACUCUAGAUUUUCAAUAUUGACCAAUUUGCUUACCUACAUGUUCAAAUUUAGCCAUUUGUUAUCUGACAUUUUCAAAAAAUAUCAAUUUUAGUGGAAAUUCUUGUAUACACGACGUGUAUUUACACGAUACAAUCUUAACCGUUCAUAACAAUUCAUAUGUUUGACCACCAUAUUUUUAUAUUAUUUCCUCUAAUCCUGACCAUUUAUGUAUAUAUGUGAAGAUAUACGCCGUAUACUGAAAAUGCUCUCCAAUUUUAGAAGGAAAAAUGGAUUAAUUUUUAUGACAAAAUGUAGCAAAUUGGCUAAUUGUAAGAACCUAAGGUAGUAAACUGGCAAAAAUAAAAGCUAAGGUAGCAAAUUGGCUAAUUUUGGAAAGCUAGGGUAACAAAUUAACAGAAAUAAAAGCGAUGAUAGCAAAUUGGCAUUUAGUUGAAUGGUAAAGUAGCAAAUUGGCAAUUUAACCACAUUUAACUGUUUUCAAAGAUGAGGAUAUAAGGUACAUUUUAAGCAAAGAAGCAUGGAAGGACUAAGGAGUAAGAACAACUUUAACAGACUCUCUAUUUUAGCUUUUAGCUACUUUAGAGAGCGUGUUUAGCUUUUAUUUGAUAUUUUCGAAACUCCAACAGACUAGCCAAAGUUUAGAUAUUAUAACUUUUAGCUAUAUCGCUAGUUAAACAUAGAGAGCGAGAUGACUCAGAUGAUGCUAGUUAUAAUUUAAUACAUUCCAUGUAAGAUAUUUUACGUGAUAUAUAUAUAUAUAUAUAUAUUUGAACUAUAUAAUCUUUAUUUGAAUGUAAUGCUAGCUAAAAUAGAGAGCAUUGAUGUAGCCGCAUUUCUAAAAUGGCUAGCCAAAAUGACAUUUUAGCUAAUUUGACUAAAAUUUAACUAAAAAAUGACUAACAUUGCUAAAGAUGCUUUAAGGAAUAUGGAGUGAAUUGGAGGGUGUGCAUGUAGUAAUUGGAGUGAAUUGUGGGAUAAUCUUCAUUCGAGCAUUCAAGAUUGGAUUCACCAGGUUUAAGUGAUCAUAAUCAUAUAAUGGGUUAGUAAGCAACUAGCCAUUGGAUGUUCCUCGAACACGACGAUCAUUUGGUGUCACAUUGCCAAACGUGUACACCUUUUCAUGCGACAGACAAUGAAACCUAUUCUUGCAUAAAUUACCUGCAACACUAUGAUUAGGCAACGACCAUAACUCGGUCAUAAGAGGAUGACCAUCGCGAUCCGGCGAGAUGUCCUAGCGAGCUAAAACGAAUCCGAUCAGAUAGAACCAACCGCUUAUAGAUUUCUUACCACAGUUCUGGCGGUGAAGGUAUAAAGUUGUUGACAAUCCUUAUAUAGAACAAAACACAACCUAUGAAGCCUAAAACAAUUGGGAGAUUGGUCUUGCACAUCUGAAGAACAAGGUGAAGAAGUAGAAGAACCAACAGGAUCUCAUGGAACUCAGGUAAAAUCAUGCAUGUGCAUGGUUUUUCAAAUAGAAUAGCAGUAUCACUUGCCAUCCUAAAAAUCUGGGUUUCCAGCUUUUUAAUCUUUUGUUCUGUUGUCUUAUGUUUAAGUUUCUUUACCCUUGUGGCAUCAAUUUUAUGUUUGGGAAAGAUCCUAAUUUGAAUUUCAAAUUGACAACUAGAAUAUUUAAAGGUCUUGCCUUUGUGCUCAAUUUAGUUUUGGGUUUCAUGCUUUUGUCUCAACCCGUGACUCAUGGUUUAGAGCUCUAAGGCUACAGCUGUAUUUGUGAUACACAAACAAAUAUAGCAGUUGUCUUUGUUUGAUAGCAGAGAAAAAAUAAUUUGCUAAACCAAUGUGAUAUUAUGCUUUUAGGAAAAGUUUGCAAAAUCUUUUGUCUCUUGCUUUUAAAUCAAACAUUGUUUAGGAUAGUUUUAUUUGUCUUUUUGCUUGGUCAUGGACAGCUACAUAUGUUCUCUCACUUUCUGAGUUUGGCCAAAGACAAAAGUCCAAAAUCCUUUCCUUGCUUUGGGCCUCUUGCCUGCCCUCUUGUGGCACCUCUUUGGCUUGUGUCUCUCUCUUGUUAGAGCACUUAAUCAACCUAUUUAUAUUGAGCAAGGCUGCCUUUGCUCAAUGGUUGUCAAGAUGUAGUUUUUACAUUUGUAUGGUUGGGUUUUGGUUUUCCUUUGCAUUGUUCAUUGGUCUCUAAGUCUUACUUUUGUGAUUAUAAACCUUAGAGCUGAACAUAACUUUUUCUCACAAACUCAUUGCAUUAUUGUUGAGGUUUGGUUUUCCUUUGCAUUGUUCAUUAGUCUCUAAGUCUUCCUUUUGUGAUUAUAAACCUUAGAGCUGAACAAAACCUUUUCUCUUAAACUCAUUGCAUUCUGCAUACUAUGAGAUCAGUUGGUAGUGCAGCAACCCAGGAAGUGUUCAUGAAAGAAGAAGUUGAGGAUAGCUGAGUUCUGAUGUAUCCCGCUGAGGUAGCUGGGUUCAUGAAAGAAUCAGUUUAAGAUAGCUGAGUUUCUGAGAGUCUUAGAAGUGUUCAAGAAGAAUCAAUUAAGUGAUAGCUGAGUUCUAGGUUGAAACUUCUUAUACCUUUAUGUGUAGCCACUUAGAGACAAGAGAGGUAGAUCUAGACUAGUUUGAGACUAGGUAGGAUAGCAAGUCGUUGCUGUUUCCUAUACUGAAAUCUUUUAAGGAGUGAGGUACUCAGAAACAAGAGAGAAAGUAUAGAUCUAGACUAGUGGGUAGUUUAGACAAGAGAGCAAGUCGUUCAUGUAUUUGUUAUUCAUGAUAGCUAUAACCCUUGCUAUCCCUGAGAAUGAAUUUAUACGAAAAAAGUUGGUAAGGGCCUAUUCCACCCCCCCCCCCCCCCCCUCCUAGGACCUUUAAGUGGUAUCAGAGCAGCCACUAGCUUUUGUUAGUGAGAUCCUUUAUGAGCCGAGAAUGGACCGUGAUAGAGGCCACACUUCCAUUAACGUCCAUUCAUAUUUUGAUUGGACUAAUUAUGGAAGGAUGAACAUCAAAGCUUUUAAUAGCUUGCCCGCUGCUCUAUUUGACAAAGAGCGUUGGAGAGUCAGUUGGGACACAUUGGCUACGACCUAUGAAAAAGCUCAAAAAUUCCAUAGCUUAUUUCAUGAGUCUAAACCAUCCUUGGAUGAUGUUUAGGAUUCCUUGGCCUUUGUAGCCCCAGUCAUAUUAGAUGAGUCCUUUAAGGACAAGGAUUCUAAUGAUAGUAUACAUGUCAUGUAUACUGAGUUGCUUUAUGAUUCAAAGUCUAUUCUCACUAGGAUUGAAAUUCUGUCAAUGAAUUAUCAAAUAGUGAGGAGAGGAAAUUUGGAAAUUCUUGGUUCAAGUUUUGAAAUUAGAGAGUGCUCAAAGUAGUAAAGCAACUGUUUUCGUCAAGAGCAAAGAACCCCUUGUUGUUGAGCCUAGUCGACUAGGGAUUGCAAAACUUCUAACCUUUUGUCCCCUUUUGCUCGCCACCACUAUGUUGUUGUUGGCCAUAUCUGAUUUUUCUGUCAAUCCAACCCUAGGAGAUCCUAGGAGAAUCAGUUGCUCACCUCGUUUUGGUUAUUCUUAGAAAAUCCUUAAGAGAGUUUUCAAGGAUAGCAAGGUGUCUGUCUAUCCCUAAACCCAGAUUCCAUAGAAAAAUCCACUUGGGUUAUAAUGAGAUUUCUGAGCGGUGUUGUUUCAAAGCCAUAUCAGUUUAUACCAAACCAUUUGACAUUUUUUGGACGAAACAUAGAUGUUGGGCAUAUAUGCCUUUUUCUCUAGACUUAGAAUUUGUCUUGGAGAGACUUAGUUCAUGGCCAUGUGCAAUGUUACACUUAGUGUUCUUACGACAAGUCGUUUUGACUUGUGGUAUGUGGACAAUGGCUGUUUUAAGGCAUAUGAUCUGUGACCCAAAAUGGUUCACAUCUAAGUUUGGACAAGUUGUGUUUGGGGUUAGUGCCAAAGCUGAGUUGGUUGUGGGAUAGCUAACACUCCUGGUCUCCUGGACCUGAAGGAUAUUUCUUUUGGUAAAAGGGUUAGAGGUCAGUCUCCUAAGUGUUAGUUUGAUUUGACCGUGUUAUAUGUCUGAUACCUGAUGGUAAAGGUAAAGGCAUGAUGAGAGGUGUGAGGACUAAGGACCAAUGUUAUGGUACAUUUGCAUAAGAGAACUUUUCUCCUCAAGAGUGAUUUCGUUAAUGGUAUCUGAGGAUGCUCUUAAACUUUGGCACAGAAGAGCGUGUCAUCUGAAUCAUCUGGUCAUUAUAAAACUAUCAUCGAAAGGAGCCGACAGGAUACCUAAGCUCACUGGUAUCCCCACAGAUAUGUAUGAGCAUUGCAGAAUUGGUAAGCUGGCUCAUUCUCUUCACUUUUGAUUUGAUGUUUAACCUAUUUUUAAUAUGCUUGAACUGUUGCAUAUAGAGUUAGUUGAACUUGUUGAAACUAAAGCGUUGGUGGUUGGAAGCAUGUGCUUGUAAUUAUUGUUGUUUUUUUUCAAGAUUCACUUGGGUUAGAUUCCUAGCUAUUAAAGGUGAAAGUGUUGAAAAGAUUACAGCUUUGCUAGAAAUUGGGUUUCAAUUGAAUAAUGUUUUGUUGGCUUGCAUAUUGGUAGUAUUAGAUUCGACCAUGACAUUAAAUUUCAACAUGCUUCAUUAUUGUUGUGAGGAAUUUGGUGUACAUCAUGAAUUUUCUACUUCCAUUACUCCCAAACAACAUAGCUUUGUUGAGAGUGUUUUGUUGGCUUGCAUAUUGGUAGUAUUAGAUUCGACCAUGACAUUAAAUUUCAACAUGCUUCAUUAUUGUUGUGAGGAAUUUGGUGUACAUCAUGAAAUUUCUACUUCCAUUACUCCUAAUUAACAUAGGUUUGUUAAAAGGAUAAAUUGUGUCCUUAUUAACUUGGGAAGAGUUACGCUUAAAUGCCUAUGAUCUCCCUCAUUCCUUUUGGGGAGAGGUUUGCUUCUAAUGUCUACUAUUCUUUAGAUAGAGUGAUUUUCAAGUUGAAAUUCUUCAAGCCACCAUUUGAGCUUCGGAAAUGGAAGAAGUCAUAUAUGUCACAUGUGAAAGCAUAUUGUGUGGACAACAAGAGAUCAUGCAAAGUGAAGGAAAUAUUAUAUGUUGCAAUAUAUGACUUCUUUAUUCUCUCAUGGUUAUUCUGUGGUGUCUGAACAUGAACAAGUCUGAGAUGCACCAAUUGUCGACCGAAUAUCCAAUGUGGAAAUCCCGGGGAUUGAAUCUGAUUUCCCAGACUCAGGGAUAGAUGAGGGUCUUUCCAUCCCGACACCCCACAGAUCUAGAACAAUGUCAAGCUCAGAAAGAUCACACUUCUUCUGACAUAUUUUGGUAAGGUGGUUGAGCCUAGACAAACCAAGGGUAAGUCAAUUUGACUGGUAAGCAGUGUUGUCAUCGUUAAGUGUUUACUUGCUACAUAUUGAUAUGAUACCCACACCAUAUUUUAUUUAUGAUUUUGUAUUUAUCAUAGAGUCCAUAUUUGAUAUGAAAGCCUUGUCUGAUGUUGAUUAUAUCAGUGCCUUGCAAGUUGCUAGAUAAGUUAGACCGUUUUGAAAUAAGCAUUGUAUGACACUUAGUUCUUGCUAGAUCCAAAGCCCCAGGAUUUCAAAGUCUCAGCCAUCAUGAGCAUGUGCAUAGGUUAGCAACGCCCUUUAUUUAUGGCCUUAAGCCAGCUUCUAGAGCUUGUUAUGAGAGUUUAUCCACACACUUGUUAGAUGGGUAUGUGAGAGGUUCAGUUGACAAAACCAUUUUUGUCAAAAGCACCUCAAUACACAUUAUAAUUGCAUAAGUAUAUGUUGAUGACAUGUGUUCGGUCCCAUUUUGUGAUAUCUUACUGGAUGUGUUUGCCACCUUUUUUAAAAUUUUUUGAGAUGAGUCUCUAUGGUAAACAGUGUUACUCUCUGUGUUUACAAGUUGUGUAUAAAAAGGAUAAAUUGUUUAUCUGUCACUCCAAUGUUUGGGAUGGAAGCAUCCACUGCCAUCCUGAUUCUGAUAGGCAUGAGCUGUAAAAUCAUUGCCAAUCUGGAGGAUAUUGAUGUUGAUUAAACAAUAUUCAAGAGCAUGAUUGUUAGCCUCUUGUACUUCACAACCAAUAGGUAUGUUAUUGCCUUAUGUGUUGGUUUCUUUGCUAACAACCUAGAAAACUCCAAGGGAUCCCAUGUGAAGGCGGUAAACCUUAUCUUUGGAUUCAUGUAUGGUACUUGUGAUUUUGGUUUUAGUUAUCCAUAUGAUACUAAUGCUGAUAUUGCAGGUUUCUCCAACUUGGAUUGGGUUAGCGAUGCUACGGAUAAGACACCUUGGGAGAUUGUUCCUUGUGAGAACCAAUUUGGUCUCUUGGCAUCGUAAGAAGCCACCAUUUUCACUGCACAAACUGAUCUCAUGGAUGCAGAAAGUUGUUGCAUGCAACUAUUGUGGAUGAAGCCACAUGUGUGCUGACUAGGGAUUCCAGCAAGGUAUUCUAUCCCUGUUUUUGUGGUAAUAUUUAUGUCACCAAUAUUUCCAAGAAAACUGUGUUGCAUUCUAGGAUUAAACAUGUUGAUAUUAAGUAUCAUUUCAUCAUAACUUUGGGCUGAACAUAACUUGCUUAAAUUGUGCUUAUACUUGUUGAAGAUUGAUAUGCAUAAUUGUUUACAAAAUCCCUUGACAACCUUGUUUUACAUGCCUUCGAAAGGCCAUUGGUGUGUGCCAAAGAGAUUGGUUUCUCCCCUUGAGACUCUUGUGUGUUUGUACAUAAGUGUUUAGGCUUAGAAGUUCUUCUUUAAAAAAAAAUCAAAAAUAUGUGUCUUUAUUUUCUAGAAAUAGUUUUCAGGAUACCUGUGUGAUGUGCUAUCCCUAGACAGUUCUUGAUCUUGACCUAAGUGAGUGUUUGAGUUUCACUUGUCUUAGUUGCUCUCUUGUCCACAUGUAUGUUUGCAUCUGAUUGAUCAUUAUUUCUCAUAUGUGGUCUGAUAAGCUUUGAAAGACUUAAGAAACUACAUGCUUCACAUAGUCAACUUUGUGGGUUACAAAGUGCAAAGCUAUAAACUUGAGAUGAGUUGAUGCAAAGAGUUUCUAUGCCAAACUAGCCUUAAAGUAUACAUUCCUUGGUCGUGAGAAACGAUAUAAGGGUGGGAAGAAACAAGGUUGGUUUGAUGAGGUGUGUGUUGAGCUUUUUGCUCCACUAUAGGCUAGUCUCAAAGUAUAAAUUCAUUGGCCGUGAUGAGUGAUAUAAAGGUGGGCAGAAACGAGACUAGUUUAGUGAUCUUGAAGUGUAAAUGAAAUUCACAAAUCAUAUCUUGGACUAACUGGUCUCUCACUUGAUACAUGACACGGUGAGGAUUCCUGAAAUGCAUUCUAUCCUUCUAUGGGUUCGAGUUGGUUGUCCUAUUGAGUAUCUUUGUUACACUUAUUGCCCCAAGACCAUCUGGUUAGGGAGUCAAUGGCAACCCUCUUGCUAUAUGAACCUAUGAGGACGAUUUUUCAGAUUGACUAUUAAACUAAUAUCUAAUUAAAUUAAUCGGAAAAAUUGCCUCUGAAUUUGAACAAUGUUGUUUUUGGUGCUCUAAGGAUGGAUGUGACCUCUGCUCUCUUAGAUUGUAUGAUAUAUCAUCUCUCAUCUCAGUUGAUGUUGAUCUAAAGACCCACAAGUGAAACUAUCUCGCACACACACUCUGAUGUCUGGACUAGGUUUAAUGGACCAUGUUGAUUUCUUCACAGUCAUAUAUACAUGUGGACUAGCAUAGUGAUUAAGACAUUUGAAAUUUUGGUGUCUUACUUUGUGUGCUUAUGCUCAAACUGUCUAUAUACAGGGAUCUUAAUGGACAUUGGUAUCCUUAGUAGGUUGUUUAGUCGUUACUUCUUGUGUGUCAUUUUAUUUCAAUUAGAUAAGUUUUUUUAUGCACACUCUUAGGGGGAGUAAUUGAUAAUCGGUGGUACACACACACGCACCUUAUAUUUCUUGAAAUUAAGAUUGUCAAAAGUUUUUAGAAAACUCUUAUGUAAGUGUGUCAUUGCUUAUCUUUUGAUUGAGGACUUUGUGAGCUUGUGCUUAAACUUUCUGGUUAGGAUCAAGAUAAUGGUUGGUAUCCUAGGUCUUGCAUCUAGUUGUUCCUUCUUUCAUAUUAUGCACACCCAUAGGGGGAGCAAUGCACCAUCUUAGAGGGAGUAUAUUUAUGAUAUGAGCUAUUCACAUACUUGCAUCUUAGUCCUUUUGAGGUUGUCAAAACAUUGAGGGAAGUUCUUCCCGUGUGUUGCAUGUUUUGAGUGUGAGAUUGCUUGUGUUUGGUUGUGCGUUGUACCUAUGUGAUUUGAAGCAUCACUUCUGUUCCAAGAAUGAUAUUGACUUUUGCCUUAAUCAUUGAUUUGUUUCCUAUGGGAUAGUUGGACUCUCUUUCUCAAGUAUGUGGUCAUGAGAGUUGAAAGGAUUGAACUAUAGUUGUUUUAAGCAUGAGUGAGUUGUAGUUUUCAGUGGCAUACUCUGACGUCAUACCACGACGCUUUCUUCGCUGCCUAGAUGCCAUGCUAAUUGCUCUACUCUCCCUUGAUCUUUUCACCUUCCCUCUCCCUUGAUAGCCUUUCCACUAUCAUUCACUUUAGUUCAUACUGAGGUGCACUGACCAUUGUGUAGGUUGUUGUUGAUGUUAUUGUUUGGAGUGUAUGCUCAAACUUAAAUAUGGGGUCAAUGUUCCUAUUAUCAAAUGCAAAGCUUCAGCUGCUGUAGGGGUUGUCAAACCCACAUUGUCUCCCGUAAGGGUGAUCCCUUAGAUAUCCCUAGCUCUCCCUCCUUGUUCUCACUUUGCCUUUUAUGAGUUCAUGUUACUCUUUCAAGGUUGAUUGUUUUAUGAGAAUUCCAUUGACCUUAAAACAAUUCCUCUUGCUGUGAAUUUGUUUGUUGGUGGGUUAGGAUGGCUUAAUUGCUUAGUGUCUUUUCUUAGGGUUGACCAUACAUGGGUGUGUGGUCUUUAUGCAGAUUCCCCUUAGGACAUUGGUUCAGAUGUUAACCUUAGAUCUAAAUAUCUUCCUUUGUGUUUAACCAUAAUUCUCCAGGAUAUCAAGAUCUGCUGGUAUCCCUCAUAGACCCUCCGAGAGUUGUCUCUUGGUCAUCUAGGUUUUUCCACCAAGCUAUUCUUUGUAGUUAAUGUUUAAGUGUGACAUCAGGAUGUCUUUGCUACUCACUUAUCCCCUGUUGACACCCAUUGCUAAGUAUUUAUGACUAUUCAAUGUGUAUGUCGAGUCUCUUGAGCAAAACUUGCUCAAAUAAGAUAUGCUUCUUGCUGCCUUUAAUGGUGAGGAUUAGGACGUUGCAAAUGAUGUUGAUAAUACUGAGGAUGAUACGUAUAUGUGAUUAUAUUGAACCGCUCUGACCUUAUUUAGUUUGGUUUUAUCAUUCUCGACUCUCUUUAUGUCUCCUUGAACAUAUGGUGUCAUUCCUUCUCUUGAGCAAACUUGCUCAAAUAAGAUAUGCUUCUUGCUGCCUUUAAUGGUGAGGAUUAGGACGCUGCAAAUGAUGUUGAUAAUGUUGAGGAUGAUACGUAUAUGUGAUUAUAUUGAACCACUCUGACCUUGUUUAGUUUGGUUUUCCCAUUCUCGGCUCUCUUUAUGUCUCCUUGAACAUUUGGUGUCAUUCCUUGACAAAAAGGCGGAGAACUGGUUGUUCGGAUUGUUGGUGGUUGUUCCUAAGAGCUGUUGGUUAUACCUUAGAGCUUGUUGGAAGUUGGGAUUUAUGAAUAUUGAGAUUUGUGCUUAUAUUAUGCCUUGUGCCUAUGAGUCUGUGUUUCUGGAUAUAAGAUGCAUCUGCUAUCCCUGGUUGUUUUUAAUAUUCAUAAUUGUUCCCCUAUUCUUCACUUGUUCUUGAAAGUGCUUAUGCAGGUUGAGAGAAUGUUUGAACAACCUUGUCUUAGUGUGUUUUGUUAAGGAAUGCCAAAGGGGGAGAUUGAAGGUAUAAGGUUGUUGGCAAUCCUUAUAUAGAACAAAACACAACCUAUGAAGCCUAAAGCAAUUGGGAGAUUGAUCUUGCACAUUUGAAGAACAAGGUGAAGAAGUAGAAGAACCAACAUGAUCUCAUAGAACUCAGGUAAAAUCAUGCAUAUGCAUUUCAUGGUCUUUCACAGAGGAUAGCAGUAUCACUUGUCAUCCUAAAAAUCUGGGUUUCCAGCUUUUUGAUUUUUUGUUCUAUUGUCUUAUGUUUAAGUUUCUUUACCCUUGUGACAUCAAUUUUAGAUCCAAAUUUGAAUUUCAAAUUGACAACUAGAAUAUUUAAAGGUCUUGCCUUUGUGCUCAAUGUAGUUUUGGGUUUGAUGCUUUUGUCUCAACCCGUGACUCAUGGUUUAGAGCUCUAAGGCUACAGCUGUAUUUGUGAUACACAAACAAAUAUAGCAGUUGUCUUUGUUUGAUAGCAGAGAAAAAGUAAUUUGCUAAACCAAUGUGAUAUUAUGCUUUUAGGAAAAGUUUGCAAAAUCUUUUGUCUCUUGCUUUUAAAUCAAACAUUGUUUAGGAUAGUUUUAUUUGUCUUUUUGCUUGGUCAUGGACAGCUACAUAUGUCUUCUCACUUUCUGAGUUUGGCCAAAGACAAAAGUCCAAAAUCCUUUCCUUGCUUUGGGCCUCUUGCCUGCCCUCUUGUGGCACCUCUUUGGCUUGUGUCUCUCUCUUGUUAGAGCACUUAAUCAACCUAUUUAUAUUGAGCAAGGCUGCCUUUGCUCAAUGGUUGUCAAGAUGUAGUUUUUACAUUUGUAUGGUUGGGUUUUGGUUUUUCCUUUGCAUUAUUCAUUAGUCUCUAAGUCUUACUUUUGUGAUUAUAAACCUUAGAGCUGAACAUAAUUUUUUCUCACAAACUCAUUGCAUUAUUGUUGAGGUUUGGUUUUCCUUUGCAUUGUUCAUUAGUCUCUAAGUCUUCCUUUUGUGAUUAUAAAC